rnacentral:lncRNA from 1 species
GAGGUGGGGAGUGAGAAAAGAGAGUGACACGUGGCGUUUGGAAUUUGUCUACGUGGGAAGGGUGCAGUUCUCGGGAAAGCAAUUACGUCACCGUUUUAGUGACGUUAGUCUAAUCGAGGUCUUCCCUCUUUCUAGUGGUGGUCAACUAUUACUUUCACAUGGAUUUUAAUAUUUUAUCAUGAAAACAAAUAUUUAAUUAGAGAUCAAACUAUUAAAAAAGAAAUAGUAAUAUCAAAAGUGAAUAUGCAGCAUCACUUAGUAGAAAAAUAUACAAGAAAAUAAAAAAUUCUUUGAUGUAACUAAUUGAUUAAAACAAAAUAUGUGAAAACAAAUAAAUAUCAAAUAAUGAAAUUUUCUACAUAAAAAACGACUAUAUAUUUGGUUCCAACGCGAGCAACCAUAAUACUCAAUUAAUUCAAAUUAUUCAUUUGACUCAAAUCAAUUACUAUCAAGAUUGUGUUUGUCAAUUAUUGUAUGCCGAAUCCAAUUGUUCAAGAUAAAAUAAUUAAACGAUUUUUUUUAAAUAGUUGAUACAUAAUAAUAUAUAAUGAUAUCCGAUUUGUCCCGUACAAUAUAUAUUGCAUGUCGAAUACAAUAUAUUAGAUUUUUUUUUUGGUUUAAUUAAUGAAAUUAUGAUAUCCGUUUUUUUGCAUAGAGUUGAAAAUUAGUGUUUGACUUCUUAAAAAAAUUGAUCAAUCUUUAUUUUACAUAUUGUUAUAGUUUAAUUAAUUUUUUAUUUUUUUACAAAUUUUUACUAUUAUUCAAAACAUUAUAAAUAGCCAAAUUUAAUUGAUGAAAUCAAUUUAGUAGCAACUCUACCAUUCCCAUAAGCCUUGGCAGUAAUUUAGGACGAACUCGAUAUAACAAAAUCCAACUCGCCCGAGGCCCAAUAGUCGAGCCCAACGGCAACAAUGUGCCCUAAUAGAACACUCUACACGAGUGUUUGCAUUUUUAUUAACAAACUAAAUCAAAUUAAUUUUAAAAAUCAUGGCGCGUUUAAUUAAUAAAUUUCCAGAACCUACACGAAAUGCAGCUCAAUACGCCAUUCGGUAUGAUCGAUUUGGCGCUGUGGCCAGAUUAUUUUGGCGCGGCUGAAGCUUAUCGCAGCUGAAUCAUGGCCUCAUUGGCGACGGUGAGUGAGUUCCUUCUGUCAUGGUGUACAUUUUAUAUUUUUUUUUUAUUUUUUUUUAUAAUUGCACAUUUUAUAGCCGAUUACGGUGUUUUCCUCCAAAAACUAAAAAAAAAAACAGAGAGCUGGUUAUGGUGUUAUUAUUUACUGGAAAAUGGAAGAUUCGUGCUCAUUCGUCUUCUGUAUAUUUGUAUGCUGUUGUCCUCCUUUUACCCUGCCCAUUUUUUAGUUGAAUUGAAAACUCACAGUCAGAUCUCUUGUUUCUGCGCGUUUUUCCCUGUCUAUGUAAUAUUGUGAUGUAUCAAAUUGAUAGGUUUUCAAUAAAUAGUUCUCGAAAGUUCUGGUGUUCGUGCCACGGUGAGUGAAUUGGAGAUUUCUGUUGGAGAGAUAAUAUUGUGAUGUAUCAGAUUGAAAGGUGUUCAAUAAAUAAUUCUAGAAAGUUCUGGUUUCGGUGAGUAAAUUGGAGUUUUCUGUUGGAGAUAUAAUUGACUAAGUUACCCACGGAAGGAUUAGAUCAAUUUUAAUACCGUUCCGACGUUUUUAUAUGGGAGUGAAAUUUUAAGAAAACGCAACCGUUGAAGGAUCAGAUGAGUUUUUUUUAUUGUCGAGUAUUAAUUCAUGAAAUGCUCGAUGUAAUAUCUACAUGGAUUCAUUUUCUAUUUUUUCACGAAAUUCGGAAAAAAUUGUGAGUGAAGAAUGUAUUGGAACAAAAAUUAGAAGUAAUGAUAUUCUCUGUGAUUUGAUACUAGGUGAGGAUGCAUAUGUCUGGAAAAAAGAAGAGAAAUAUCUGGUACCAGUAAUCUGAAAAAUGUGGUACCGUUAUUAUGUAGAUUUGCCGAUAUACGUCUCAGAUGAACUCGUUUGAUGAAUUCAUUGGUAAUGAUCUGAGACCUCAAUUGCUUUGAUGAAUAGUUACUAAUUUGUAAAUGUGAAUUAAGAAGUUAAAGAAAAGAAUUCUUGGUCUGAUUUGGCUCUUGGUGCUUCUGGCAAUUUGAAUAAUCUCACAAGGAGUUGUGGUUCGAUCUGAAGUUAUUUUGGUAUUAAGAUGAAUGUGUUUGCUAAUUGUUAUGAAAAUUCUUCAGUAUUAAGAUGCGAGUGUUGGUUAUGUUUACAGCAAUCCAGAGGUUGAAGGACAAAGAGCGUCAUUGCAUGGACAUGUCACUGCAGUAACUGAAGGUCUCGAACAUGGCAGGCAUCAAUUGUUCAAGAAACUGAUGAAGAUGGCCUCUGCGCAAUGCUAUGGUGAGAAACUAUGCUUCGGCCAUUGUUCUAAGGUCUCAUUCUCUUGUCUGAGAUUCUUUGACAUCUUUUUUUUUUUUUUUUUUGAGAAAAUUUAAUUUCUUGUAUUCCUUUUGUUUUUAUUAUGCUUGUUUGUUAUUUAUUUGCUUCUUUUAAUCUUUCUUGAUAAUGUACUCCACAUACUUCAAACUAGAGAAUCUCUUCAAUUAUUUUCUGGAGCUCUUCCCUUCGUUUACGUGUUUUUUCUUUCUUUUGUUUUCUUUAGGUUAAGAGAUGUAUUUUCGAUCUUGAUUUGUACUUCCACCGGGAACGAUGAUUCCAAGCAAUUUAGCGAUCUUGUUUGGUUUUUUUCUCUGCUUCACUAUUUAUCAGGAUCUAGAAUAUGUUGCAUGAAGCGGAGUAUGAUUAGCAGAUUAGCUUAGACUGAAUAUUUGAAUUGAAGGUUGCAGAAAGAUUGUCUGAACUGGUUGUUUUUGUGAAGAAACUUUCUUUUCCUUUUGUAAAUAGGUUGUAUACGUAUGAUAAACUUGUCAGCACAAAUCGUACUUACUGUAAUUCCUCAUAUCUCUUAGCUGCAAUUACUUAAAUGCUAAAUCACAAAGCAAAAUUAUUGGUGAAAUUCUUGUGCACUUGAUUUCUACUCUUGGUUACUAUUUCCUAGCAAUUUCUUUUCCUUUUUUCAGAGGAGCAUAGUUUCUCAGUAAUGUUUGUAACUUAAUUUUUUACAGUGAUAUUGGCGUAAUUUGUGGAAGUUCUGUUUGAUCUUCAAAUAUACCUCCCAUCAAGAUAUCUGAGAAGGUGGAGGAUAAUAAAAUGCUACCUUUUCCUUUCCUUCAAAUUGUGGCCAAAUAAUUACAUUAAUAUUUAGAUUGAGGAAUGCUUAAUGCUUUCUCAGGGGACGUGAAAAAGAAGUCUGUUAUUCCUCUCCAGUAACUCCAAGAUGAGCUGUAACACGAUGAGGUCUAAUUUUCUUAACCUGACGAAGCGUAGAUCCGAUAAGGUACGCAUAUGAAGCAUAAUCUAUUUAUAUACUUGAAAUGGUAAUGGAUUAGGGUAAAGCUUAAAAAACACGGGUUCGGGUUUGGGGGGAAAUAGGGAAAGUUGGGUUGGGCCUUGGGGGCAGGUCUCGAUUUAGUUAAUCGAUGACACGGUCGGGGCCUUAAAACUCAGCCCGGUAUGGUAAAGUCUUGGGUGUGAAUAUAAAGUGGCUACAAAUAAAGUUUGUUCAUAAUUAAGUGAUAUUUACAAGGACUGGAGAAAAAUAUCAAGAUCUUAAGAGGGUCCACCAAGUAAGAUUUUCCCUUACAAGAUAUGGUGGAUACUAACAAUUUUCCAAUUUAACCGUUAAGCCAAAUUUCACAUGAUUUUUGGAGGAGCGGUUUUGUAGCUUGUGACUGGUAAUAAUGUUAUGUGUAUACAAUAGUAUGCCUCUGUUGCUAAAACUUGCAUCCAUCGGCGAAGGGAGUUUUCCUUUUCGAUCUUUGCCAAAUGUACAAUCGAAAUUCAUCUAAAUCUGCCGACAAUAAUUAAAUGUAAAAUAUAAAUUAAAGCUUAUAUUUUGUAUCUACUUUCCUCAAAUUCUGUAGGAUUUAGGGAGACAUUUAAGAGACAGAUUUUAGUGGUAAAUUGAAAGAAAGAGAGAGGAUAGAGGAGGGAGAGUGAGAGUGGAUGCUAGAGAGAGAAAGCGAUCUUAAUAAGAAAAAUAAAUUAUCAGUAAAAGUAGUACUAUAAUUAGCAUGCCGGUCGAUAAUAAUCCGAAUUGGGGAUGAUGGAACAUGGACAUUGUGGUGAUGUGUGUUGCAUUAUGCUGACAUGGCAUCACUCUUUCUCUCUCAAGGUGAAAAAAAGUCAACACCAAUUUAGGGAUGAGAUGGAUAUUGUGGUUGAUGUGGGUUCCAUUACAUAUCUUAUGUUGGCCGCUUGGGCAACACAAGUGUUAGGACAGAUAUAUAUAGAUACUGCAUGGGAUGGGCUUUGUUUUACUAUACAUUAACUCGUGCGGUGCGCCAUUUCUUGUAAAGUCAGAUAAGCCUAGACAACCCACUUCCAACAUUUCUUCCUCAUCCACAUCAAAUCCAUCAAUUUCUUUUCCCCUUUCUUCGUAUUUUUUUAAGUUUUACUUUAGCUUGUUCGAAAAAGUUAGAUGUUCAUCCGAAUAUAGCCCUAGUAGGUAAUAGAUCAUAUCAAUACUGUAAAAGAGCAAUUGUGGGUGAUUCUCUCUUUUCCUGCCUCUCCUUAAUGGCCACUAAAACAUCUUAUUUACCUUUAGAUUUUUAGUAUAUUAAAAUCUAUGGAGUUCAACGAUUCAUAAUAACAAAUUAUUUUGAGUUAAUUUGUCAUACAAUAUUUAAUACAAAGUUACUUUAGAUAAUUCGUCCGAUGAUGUUCAAAAAUCGAUUGGGUAGCUCAAGAGUCCUUGAAAUCAGGUAAACCCGAAACCUCUUGGUCUAAAUUUGAACUAGGCAUAUCAUCACCCUAAAAAACUUCUCAACAAAUCAAAAUUCUUAAUACAAAUACAAAGUGGGGCUUUUUUUUAGUUCUUCAUUGUAAUUCUUUGAUAGAGAAAAGGUAUUGGGGUUGGACUAGUUUACGAAAGCAGGAACUUUUUCUGUGCAUGCAUCCAAUAAUUCAAUUGGUUGAGGUCUCCAAAUCAAUAUACUCUUUAUAUUCAAGAUUUAGUGGGUCAUCGUGAAUUUUAUCCGAGAACUGGUGCUUGUCUAUCAGUUGAUAUUUAUAUAUUUGUGGCUAUAUAUUUACCUAUAUUAUAAUAUUUUAUAGUGCUCCAAGAAAUUUAUUGCUAUGAUUUAUUAUACUUUUGAUAAUUUUAUUUACAUUAAGCACACCAUUUACAUGUACAUGGUCAGAGUACUCUGUCAAAGAGUACUUUGUCCAUGUGGAAGUUGAUGGUUCCUGGGUUACAAUAAGCUGCAUAAUAGAAACUUCUAGCAACUGUGAGAAAGUUUUGCUUCGUCUGUGAAUCUAAAUCGUCUGAGGAUUUUGUAAGAACUAAUUUCACUAGUUCUUGCAUGUCCGAUUCUAUCUCUGCGGUUGUGAUGCCUCUAGUAUCAGCCAUGCAUCCUUGCGCCUGUUCGAAACAAGUAGAGCAUUAAAACAUUAGAAAAAAAAAAUUAUUUUUUUGAAUUUUUUUGUUGAAAAAUGAAAAAUGAAGAUUAAAUGAAAAGAGAAAAGAAAAGGCAAAGAGGAGACAAGAAUUACAAUUAAGCUUGGGAAUUAGUGUCUGGCAGGAUUCAUGUUAUAAAUAUGUGGUUAUGUAAUGAUUGUAUAAUUGAAGAAAUGAGCCAUAAAGAUAGAUCCAAAAUCUCACAUGGCAAAAAAUGUGAUACUGUGCGCGGCUGUUUGACAAAAUUCUAUCAAGAAAGAUAACCGGAAAUAGGAAAUUUUGUCGCUAACCUUUCGGUGUUGAAAUAGACGCAGUUUACUGCAAACUCUUGUCGUGGUCUCCAAUAGCUGCUUGUACUUAGGAUCUGACAAUAAUAGCUCCUCAGACGCCCAAUGAUCACCGCCACCACCGCAUAGAUUUAAUGUGCGGACGAAUAGCUCCGCAUUCCCUUGUCCGAUUUCUCCUCCCUCUUCCCAUAUCUUGAGCCACUUAUGCCACUGCACAUUUCAUGUCAUUAGUCAAGACAUUUUUUUGUCACUAAAUUAAGACUUAAGUGGCUUUAACAUUGGCCACUCUAGAAUUUUUUUCGCAAUUUUUAUUAGCAUUAAUUAUAUUUUUUUUUUUUACUUUAAAAAUCAAUAAAAUAUUAUAUAUAUAUAUAUAUUGGAAUGAUAUUUAAUAAAAAAAAAUUGAAAUAAUAAAGAAUGAAAAGUAAGAAUUUGUACGGGCAGGAAGAGAUGAAUGAAGAUUUUGGAGUUUUACCGCAUGAUUGAGUGGCUGUUGGAUGUUUCGGCCGUGUGCCAACAGUGUAUCCAAUGAGAGCUGGUUUAGCGUUCUGAGCAAUGUCCCGACAACACUGCUUCUUGUUUUAUUGUACCUGCAAUACCUCUUUUCUAUUACUCCAGAGGCCAAGCUCAUAUACUUUUUUUUUUCUUCUUUCAUAUCCGUUUAUAUAUUUUAAUUAAAUAAUAUUGAUUUUUAUUUAAAUAUGAAUAUUAAAUUAGAUUUAUGAGAUUAAUUAGGGAAUUUUACCUCCCUCCAUUUGCAUACUUGUGGAGAACGCUGCCAUGUUCAAAUUCAUCGACAAGGGCGCGUUUCUGAUCUCUCGAAAGUUGCUGUUGCUCGAUAGUUUCGACUAAAAUUGUUGUUUUGGCCCAUGCUAAGCGCGCUCCCGACUUCUCCGGCUCGAAUAUGCAUGCAGCGGAUAUGUAGUACCCUAGUAAAGCACUUCUUUCACUUAAACCAAAUUCAUCAAGGCUGCAAUUUCUGAACCAUCUGCACCAAAAGAUUAAAUCAAAUAAAAUAACUUAUCUUUUCGAAACAUUAAAAAAAUCUGGAAGAAAAGAAGAAAAAAAUUAAUCUUACUUUUGUAUGCUUUUCCACUCCCGCUGAUGCAAGGCCUGACAAUUGUUGUAGUCCAAUUUUGCUAGUUCCAGAUAGGUGUUAUUGUUGACGUAUGGCAUCCUGAAGAUAAAUGCUGAAAAAUUAUAACAUGCAUAUAAUUUUAUUACUGUAAAGUAAAUUUUCAUGCUGCAUCGGUUAAUUAAAUUCAUUCGAAAUACAAUAAUUCUAACAGUACAAAAAUCAAGCAAAAAACAGUACAAGAGUACAAUGUACGAGACAAAUUAGCAAGAAUCUUCAUCUAAUAUUAUAUUAUUUAUAAAAUUAAAUAAUCUUAACUACGUAAGCUAAGCAUCACCUUCUAGAAUAUGCAUUUUUUCUUUUCUGUCACAUUAUGCUAAUUAAUAUGGUUAAUUUUGAAAGGGAAUUUGAUGGUGUCAGAAGAUAUAUGUUGUCCUAAUCUUUGUGGACAACUAUAUUGUAAUUGUAAAUACAUGGCCGCCUAAACUUGGCUUUUGUGCUCAAACUCUUUCAAUUAACAGCUGUUGCAAAUAUUAAUUGACUUUAAUUUUUAAUGUUAAUAAUUAGAAGAUAAGAAUACGAAAUCAUGUCACGUGCUAUCCAUGUGAUUCAGAUGAAAAGCAUAGGCUUGCAUGAAAAAUUCAUUCAUUUCUUAUAGGUAGGGAUUAAUAUUGACUGCUGUUUCAGAAUGUUCCUCGAUUGAUACAAAUCGUCAAACUUAGGACUUUCAUAAAAUUUGAUUUUUUUUAAAAGCUAAUUCCAAUUCAUAAUUUGAAAAUUGGAAUGGAAACACUUAUUCCUAACUCUGAUUUUUUUUUUUUAUUGGAAUUGACGAGUAUUUAAUGUAAAUUUUGAAUAUUAUUUUUUCCAAUUUUUCGGUGUUAGUCUAGCAAAUUAGAAUCGAAUCGGGAAUUGACAUGUCAUAUACAUAUUUCAAUUCCGAUCAAAAAAUAAAUUGGAAAAUCCGAAUUUGGAACGAAAAAAAUCGUUCCAAAAUCAUAACUUUUUGGAUCGAGCUCGUUGGAAUUCGAAAACCCCGUUUCGAUUUCCACCUCUAUUUUGUACAAGUCAAGAUUUUGUAUUCAUGCUUUUGCAAAAACUAGUAAAGUAAAAUAAUGAUGGUAAAACGGUAAUUAGUAAAAACAGUUAAGAAUUAGUUAAGAGUACCUGUAUAAGGUUUUGCCAAUCCAAACAUCGUCUUCGCCGCCGUACUGUUCUAAAUAGAAUCUUGUUUCGACUCGAGGUAGACUAGCGUACCAUGGCACAUCUAGUGCAUAUCCCACCUGGAAUAAUAAUUAUAUUAUUAUUAUUAUUAUUUAAUCGUUUAAAAUAAAUAAAUAUAAUUAAUUCAGGGCUCAAAAGGCUACACGAUUAUCAAAUUGAGCCACUUAGACUUGCUCAAUUGGAUAGGCAUCCACUACUAAAUUGAUCAAAAAAUUGCAUUAACAAAACGCCAAACUUAUGAAGAAAAAAAAAUUAAUUAAUUUGUUUUCUUGUACAAUGUCAUUAAGCUUGUGGCAAGUGGCAUAUGUCCUAAUCAUCAAAAUUUUGCCCUUGGAAUCAUGUUACUUUAGAAAUUUGUUUGAUUGGAGAGAUAUGAAUGUAAUAAAACCUGGUUAUUUAUAUGAUAUGUGUAUGUAAUUAUGUGUAGAUCUAUUGCUGAAAUUCACAAAAUAUAAAUGAUUAGGUGUAACAUCUAAUUACUCAGCGCCUCAAACUAGAAUUUAACUUAAAAAAAAAUGGCAUUUAAUUAAUAAUAUAUUACAGUUAACAAAAUCCAUGAGAAGGGGGCCUAACACAAAUAAAUAAAUAAAUACCAACUUAGAACUUUUCAUUAUAUAAAAUAUAACUCAAACUCCCUCACUUUUAGUUAAUGUUUAAGCUUAAUUAAUUGAAGGGGACAACGAGAAAAACAAAAGAUUUUAAAAAUAAACCCUUUUGAUUAAGCUGGCAUUUAGCAAAUUAAUUAUUAUUUUAGUAUCCUACUUUUCUUUUAAUAAGUAAGAUAGAAUCACAUAUGACAUGUCUGAUCUGCUUCCUAAACAUGUGUAUGUCUCUCUUUUCUAGAUAACUUUCAUACUACUAAUAAUAUAUUUAUUCUCACCAAAAGUUUCUUCACUUUUAAAAGUAAACCCACAACAUUGCAUGGGCCAUAAAGAAAAUUAAAAAAAAAAAUUGAAUAAAAAAUCUUCACCUUUAAUAAUCGGAAAAAAAAUCACUAGUAUAAGUAAUCAGGUGUAGCAUUUAACUGCCCGAUGUAUCGGGAGUUAUAGUUAUCUUAGUGGCAGUGGAAUCGCCACAUCAGGACAUUUAUCUACGAGUUAGAAGUGUGGGUUUUAUCUACAUUAUUAAGAAACACACACUAUCACACACACACACACACAUAUAUACAUAUAUAUGCAUAGUAAAGGGUAUAAUAAUAUUGAAUAAAAUAAACUGACCUCGCCGGGAAGGUCUUUGGUAAUAAUCCACUUAUCCAAAAGCUGAUUAUUAGCUCUUUUUUCUUUCAAAAACUUAGCCGAAAAACUAGCAGCAAAUCCAAGAAUCUCCUCUCCAGGAAACAUCAACUGAGAAGCCCUGUACAAAUUGUACAUCCCGGUCACAGCCUGCGUUGACUGCCCCGCGAAGCAGAAGAACUCUCCACCCUUCUCAAAAUGUUUGAACACCUCUGCUUACCAUCAUACAAAGUUAGUUAAUAUGUAUCCACUACAUGCACGGACCAUGAACCAUACGGUGCACCUGCAUAUUAUUCUUUUAAUAUAUAUAAUUAAUGAAUUAAUUACCUGCAGAAAUAUUGUAGCCAUGCAACCUGAGAAGCCUGAAACCCAUGGCCGUGUCAUCAAUAUCCUGAACUUCCGAGUUCCUCGCCCAGCAUAUUCCUUUAUCCGUCCAGUAUCUGUGCACAUAUUCGAUACAUUCCUCGAUUUCGUCCCGGAAAUACCGAGAAACGCCUAGCCGUUGCAGCUUGUCCACCGCCCAAAGAUGCUCGAACAAGUCCACCGGGUACACAUUCGGAACUAAAAUAAUUAAUCACAAAUUAAAUUAAUUAGUUAUGAAAAAUUAAUUAAUGAAUAACAAUAUUAAUUAAUUAGGAUUAGAAUAUUUACCUCCACCGUUGAAUUUACGAACAUAAUUAGUCAAAUACUGGAGGCAAUUAAGAUCUUUGGUUUGGUGGAGGGCAAAGGCAGUGGAGGAAGGAGAGAAAAGGAAAGAGCCAUCUGAAGACUGUAAUUUCAAUAGCUUUUGCCACGUCAGAUCUGCCAUUCCUUCCAAGCUGUGUAGUAAUGUUGUCGGCACUUUGUGCAUUAUGUCCUUCGGUAUCCUAUUUUAUACAUACAUAUAUAUAUCCCCCCACACACACACACCCAAUUAUUACACACAUAUAUGUAGGCAGAAAUAAAAAAUUAAUUUAUACAUAUAUAUAUGGUUUUUUGGACCUAUCUUUAUCAUAUACUUUUAUGUAUGUGACAGAUAAGGUUGCUUUCAAAUAGUGUCUUUCUCUUUCAUUCAUUUGUACAUGCUGGAAUAUUAUAUAUAUAUAUAUGUAUAAUAUAUAUAUAUAUAUAUAUACACACACACACAUACCUUGUGAGCUUAAGGUCUCGUUUAGCAUAGAUUUGUUUUAAACCAGGAGAAUCUUGGUAUGGGAAGUCUAUAUCUAACUUUUUGGCUAAUUCAAUGAGUGAUGGUAACGCCACUUCAAACCCAAUCGGCAUGUGCUCUUCAUUUUCUUCCCCUAGCUUCUCUAUAUUCUCUUUUAUAAAUAUUAUCCCUGCCAAAUAUUUACAUUUCAAAUCUAAUUAAUUAUUUUUUUAUUAUAUUAUAUUAAUUUAAUUAAUUAAUUAAGUAAUUACCUUUAUCGGUUUUGUGGGGAUGUAAGUUCCAGUAUCUCAAAGCAACUACACAAGCUAACGUGUUGAUGAUUCGGUCGUAGAUUGAGAAAGUGUAGUUGGCGCCCCACGACCCGUCGGGGAGUUGGUUUUCCGAAAUCCACUCUAGGCUCGACGGGAACUGGGGCGCCGGCGCCGUCGUCAUGCCGCCGCCACCGUUGAUGUCCUCCACCAACGCCACCCACGCGGUGUCGUACGGAGAUACGCUUAUCUCUCCGUCGCCCAUCGAAGUCAAAAUCGAUCUCACCGAUUCCACCAGUUCCCUUAUCUUGUCAGAUGAUUCGGCCUCCUUCUCCUUCUUUUGAUGCAAAAGUAAACCAAAAAAAAAAAUCAAAAGUGGGUAAUCAAAUCAGAUUUGACUAAUCGAAACAAAAGCAACAAAAUAACAAAAAUGUUUACUGAUUAUUAAUUUAUAUUAUGAGUAGUGUAUAUAUAUAUAUAUAUAUAUAUAUAUAUAUAUAUAUAUAUAUAUAUAUAUAUAUAUAUAUAUAUAUAUGAGCAAAAGAAAGAAAAAUGAAUUGUGUUCCUACCUUAUGAUCAGUACUAUUUGUUCGUGAGUCAUCUUCCACGAUCUCGUGCCACUUUAUCACCGGCAAACCACCGUUCUGAAUCACAUCUAUGUAUUCUGCAUUAUAUUAAAUCACCAUCCCGUUAAUUGUAAUUAACAAACACUAAUUAAUAUAUUAAAAAAAUAAUAAUAUUUUUUUUAGUAAUUCAAUUUUAAUUUCAAGAGGGGGUUUAUGUUUUUAAUUAUGUUAUUUUAUAUAUGUCUAUGUAUGUAGAAUGAAUGAUUACCUUGUGUACGAGGUUUGAAAAUAGCAUUACAGUAGUGAAGAGGACAACUGGAAGUAAGUAGUUGUCUGGAAAACCCUGCAAUGAAAAUUGAUGUAACUUUACAGCUUGGGAAUUUCAGGAAUCAAUCAUAUCGAUUCCAAAUGGUAAGAAAACAAAGCGGCAAACGUCAAAAGAAACAUCAAAAUGCAACCCAAAGUUUAACGUUCAUUCAAUCACACUCUUAACCAUUUAAAGAAAUCAAAUUAUAAUUAAACACGAGAAAUUAAAAAUAAUAAAAUGGGGGUCAUCAACAAACUGCGCGCGUGUGUGUGAGUGUGUGAGAGAGACUGAGGAUUCACCGGCAGGGAAACGAGUUGCUGCGGGCGGCAAAAGAGCGCCGUGAGCGGCGGAUGAUCGGAGGAGAGAGGCGGAGUGGUGGGAAGUAGUAAAAGACAUGUUUAUUAUAAAAUUUGUUGUGGUGGUUGUUGUUUAAGAGAGAGAGAGGAAUUGAAAGAGGGGUUUAUAUAGAAAGAGAGAGAAAGUAGAUGAGAGAGAAAGUAGAGAGAGAGAGAGAGAGAGAGAGAGAGAGAGAGAAGGAGAAGACAGAAAGGAAUUCCCAAGAGAUUCCCGCGAAUGGGUGCAUGGGAUCAUCCAAAUUCAUGAGAAUGAGGGCACUCCUGUUCUUUUCUUUCCUUCCACCCCCCUUUUAUAUAAUAAUACAUUUUUUUAUUUUUUAUUUUUAAAUAAUAUUUAAUUAUUCAGGAUCCCCACCCCUCUUUUUUGUGUUAACCCCAUUAAUUAAUUAAUUAAUUAAUUAUAAUUCUAUAUUUCACUGUAAUAGUUUUGUUAUGAGAUCAGUACUGAUUUAAUUAGUUUGACUUAAUAUACAACGGAAUGAUUUUAAUUUAAUGGGUGAAAUCUUGGUGUUAUUAUUGUGUUACUAUAUUAUAUAUUGGAAUUGGAAAACUCUCUCUGUAUAUACUGAUAUUUCUUCUGAGGUAAGGAAAAAUAAAAUAAAUAUUAAAUCCAACACUACAAAAUAGCAAUUUGGAUUCCUAUGUUACGAAUCCUAUGUUAUAGUACUUGGUAUAUAUAUUGUAUUUUAUUUCACCAAUCCGUAUACGCAACACGUGUACUAUAAUGAUUUUAUUUUUAAUUGACAAAGACAACACUUGGUACAUUCUGGUUUGGUGCAACAAUUUGUAAAUAGAUGUUAAUCGCAUUAAAUUAAUUAUUAGUGACGAACUAAAUUUAGAAAAAUAUUAAUAAAGAAAUGAAAGAGUUCAGAUAAAAUGUAAAGAAAUUACUCAAACAGUAGAAUUAAAAGAACGUUAUACAGUAGAAAAGAUGGUCACUUCACAAUUUUGUAGUCACACACGGACGCAGUGAUCUUAUAUGAGAGAAUACAUGUAUUCGAUGAAAGAUAAUGUAAAUUAAUUAAUUUAGGUAAUAAAUUAAAUAUUUGUAUGUAUUUUAUUAUUUUUUCACAUUCUGAAAAAUACAGUACUGGUGAGUUGUGCAUGGACCGGACCAGUCGCUACAAUCAAGAUUCAGGUUUAUUUGGUUUUGCAACUUUUGGAAUUUGGUCCAAUUAUAUCACUGGGUUCUUUUUUCUUUUUCUUUUUCUUUUUUUAUAAAAGGACUUUUCAGAUUAUUUUUUUUAAUAGAAUUAAUUUGGUAAUUUACCAUAUUAAUUCUAUUAAAAAAAAUAAUCUUAAAAAGUCCUUUUAUAAUAAAAGAAAAAGAAAAUUUACAAAAUUACCUUUUCAGGUAAAGUCUAUUUACAAAAAAACCCCUCGUUCUUUUAGAAACUACAUUGACCCCCUAUAAAAGAGUUGAUGUAAGAAAUCUACAAAUUGCAGGGUGGAUUUAAUUAUGAAAAACAAGGGCGAAUUUUGUAAAACAAUAAUAAUUGUUGUAUUAAGUAACUGGAAAUCAAUCUAAGUUGAGAAUAAUCUCAUACAUUAAAAUCUUAAUCAAGGAUUAAGGAAUCAAAAAUAUAUAACAAACCUUCAAAGAAAAUGGGACAGUUACAUCAGUUCAAAAUCGAUGUGGAAGAUUGACAUAAAGGCUAAAUUAUGUUUCACUAAAUCAGAUAAUAAUAAGAAGUUGGGAUAUAUUUGAUAAAACAACAAAAAGAUGAUUACAAAAAAGAUUAGUCUAAUCACAUAAAACAUCAUAUACAAAACUAACUUAAACCGGUAACAAGUGUUUGUUUCUAACGGAGAUUGUGGAAUCUUGUGUUUCUUUGAUGCUUUUUCAAUUAAUAACUGGCGUUUUCACCAACCUUGUAUCAAUUGUAAUGCAUGGAAUCUAAUUAAAAUAUAAACCAUGGUCCAAUAAUUUUGGUUCCACUUGUCUUUUCUUAUUUGAAUGUUCUAAGCCCAGUGUAUGAUAUGGGCCGGGCUCGUGAAUAGAACAAAUAAGGCCGGUUUGAAUUUAUAUUAAAUAAAAAUCAAGAAAGGAUCUGAAAUGUUAAGUGUCGUUUCAAUUUUAUUAAUACUGUGAUUUUGAACUCAAUUUUGAAAAAAUGCAAAACGCAAAAAGUGUAGUCCUUUGAGAUAUAUUUCUAAUACAACUUGAAUCGUUUAGAUUGGAUGUGGGAUGGCAAAGUUAUGCAUUAAUGAGUUACGUUUUGAAUUUUAAACAACUCAAAACAUCAAAGUUGUGGGCAGUGUUCAUUGAAUCAUGCAUAUUUUUCUCCUCUAUCAUCCAUUUUUGGUGACUCAAGUUGGAUUCAAAAGUUAACUCAACAAACUACAAAUUCCGUGUUUUGAAUUUUGCUACAUUCAAACUAAAAAAUUAUCAAAAUCAUGUUUAAAGUCAAAACAGUAUGUCUAAAACUGAAACGAUAUUUAUCACGCCCGUAAGGAAAUUUGUUUUGACAUGAGGAAACAAAGAAUAUACACAAAAUGAUUUAAUUUUUGUUUACUUUUUUUUUACGAGAGAUCUCGAUUUCUUCGCCAUCUUCUUAUUUCCUUUUCUCUGGCCCGUUCUCGUUGUUUGGUAUGUAUGAUCCAUUAAUCUUAAAAUAUAAUUGAAUGUAAAACAUGCAAUAUCUAAUUAUAAAUAAAUUGUCUCAAAUGAAAAAUUAAACCUAUAAUUUUAAUAAUUAAAAUCCAAAUAACCUUUUCUAAAUCUAACGGGCUAAGCUACGGUCGUCUCUAAAUUUAAAAACAUUACAAUUUUGUUAGCCCAAUUAAUUGGCCCAAAAUCCAAUAAACUACCUGAAUUGGGCCACUUAAUUUUGAUAGGCCCAAUAAAUAUCACGCGCUCAGCACGUGACACCCUCUCCGAAUCGCUAAACUCCAACAAACCACCUUAAAUAAAAAAAUCACAGUAAAAGCAUGGUUUCCUUCCGCUUCCCGUUCUUGUUUUCUCAGCCACCAAGACCGCCCCUUUCCGCCACCGCCGAUGUCUCCUCGCGAUCCUUCUCCGCCACCACCACCGCCGCAUUAUCAGUAGCCGCCGCAUUAUCAGUCGCCGGAGCCGGCGUUGCUCUCUCCCAGAACUCCGACAACCCAUUUCUUCAAUGGGCAUUGAAUUUAUUAGCGUCCAACAGAAAUGGCUUCAAUCCGAUGUGGGGUUCACUUUCUCUCACCGCAAAUUCGUCGCCGGUCACCGAAUCGAGGACUGGAACGUCAUUUCCAGCUGUCCUGAAAGAUUCUCAGCGCCUUCUCGGAAUUGGAUUGCGCAGAAAAGCUGUUCUAGGGUUGAAAAACAUCGAUGUUUACGCUUACGGAAACCCUUCGUAUUUUAUUUUGAUUUCCCCCUUUUCAUUUCAGUUGAUAUAUACAUAGCGACCAAAUUGGCCAUGAAAUUGAACUCUGGGCAUUUUCCCUUUUGAUUUCGGAUUUGAUUAAAAUAGGUGUAUACGCUGAUGAUUCCGAUGUGAAAAAGUUUCUAAGUGAGAAAAAGGGAGAUCUUUCCGAUGAUCUAAUGGAGAGUGAUGUCAGCAUGACUAUUAGGCUGCAAAUAGUUUAUGGAAGGUUGAGCAUUCGUUCCGUGAGGAGCGCUUUUCAAGAAUCGGUCGGUAGCCGAUUGAACAAGUUUGGCGGAGGAUCGGAUAACAAAGAAUUGCUACAAAGGUAACCAAAUAUCUUUUCGUUUAUAUCGCAAGUAUACUAAAAUGCACUAAAUUAGGAAUGAUAGUAGCCCGUGGUCGUGGUGUAGCAAUUCAAUAGUAUAAAAUCUCGAGCUCGGUGAUUUUGUAGUGUCUGUCGAUUUUCUUAUAAUUUGAUGUGCAGGUUUACCUCUCAAUUUAAAGAUGAAUAUAAAAUACCAAAGGGAUCCAUCAUCGAUCUGUGUAGAGAGCGAGGCUAUGUUCUUCGCACAAUGAGUAAGAUUGUCGUCGCUACUUCAUAUUUAUAUUUGAAACGAACUUUGUUUUAGUUAAAUAUGAGCAUGGUGCAUAAUGCAUAUAAUGCUGCAAAAUUACGAUAAAUUAGAUAUAAACGCAACUUUUUUACAUUUUGCACGUAUGUAUGUAUGUAGUUGAUGGAGAAGAAGUGGGAAGUAUACAGAGCAAGGUCUUGUGUCGGUCAAUACUCGAUCUAUACAUAGGUAACGAGUCUUUUGAUUCUAAAGCCAAAGAAGAUGUCGAGCUCAACUUGGCUUCCCUAUUAGGGAAAUAACUUCGUUGGAUGUCAAACUCUGCUUGAAUCCAAAAUUCAGAAAUUUCGUAAUAUUUCGACCCUUGAUUUUCGCGUUUUUCGGUUGUUUGUAUUUUGUUGGGAAAAAAACAUUAAUGUGAAGAACACUGAAGAUUUGGUUUCUAGGUAAAGUAUUGCUACCAAAUUAGAUGAGAUCACAUAAAAUUAAUUUUGUGUAGUUGGAUGAGUAGUCAAGCCCAUUGACUAUUUUGUAUGAUGAUAUAAAUAAAAGAUGGAUAAAAUAAAUAAUAUAAAGAAAAUCGUUGUGGGUUCCAACAUUUUCAGAGGAAUUCAAGUCAAAAAAAUUGACCUGCUCCACCACACGAAAUUAAUUAUUUUUCAUUCAAAAAAGUCAAACCUUUUUUUAAAUAAUAAUAAUAAUAAUAAUAAUAAUAAUCAAAUAAAGAGCUGAUAAUAAAAAAUAAUAUUAAUCAACAAACUUUCAUAAGCUGCUUUUUCUUUAACUGAAAAAAGGUAUUCAACUUCCACCCACCAUACUCUAAAGCAUAUAUGAAAGAAUGGAAUUGUAUAUGAUGAUGAUGAUUAUAACAGCAGAUUAGUUCUAUACAUACAACACAAAAAUGAGUGCCGCAUUCAUUCAAACCAAUCACAGAUUAGUACUCAAACUCAUAAAUAACUAUUUCCAAAAUUGCAAUUUAAUCCUUUUUCAAUACUUGAGCUCGGAGAGUUGGUUCGGGCAUGUGCCUAGAAUCGGAGUCACGUUCCUUCUACAAGCAGGGGACAAUUUCUGGGCAGGCCCGUUGGGAGGAACCUCUGUUUCUUGGGUUGAUUUGCUCACUGUACUCAUACUUCUUUGGCUGCUCCCCCCUGUAUUUGUAUUUUUCGACACCGAUGAAUUUGCUGAAGGUGAUACCGGAUUAUGACUACUUUGGGAACUUUUCAGUUGAGGAAUGUUCGAAAGGGCUGUAUUAUUGUGAGAGUAGUUCUCCCAUUUGGAUGCAAAGUUUGGAUUCCCGGUUUGAGUAGAAGAUGUGAAAACAGGGUUCAUCGCCUUAACCUGAUACGCUGACGCUCCUCCUCCUGCAAGCUGCUGCUGCAUUUGAUGCUGUUGAGACUUUGGCAUUGUCGAGCGAGCUGAUAUACUGUCACUGCAAUCUGACUUUGAGAAGUUGAAAGGUUGACCGCUGCCGCCAUGGAUUUGAUUUGCUCCUUCACUUGCCUGGAAAUUCUUCUGCUGCUGCUGUUGUUGUUGUUGUUGUUGUUGUUGUGCCAUUUGAUACAUCAUAGCAGAGUUGUGCAUCAUGGAUGAGAAGCUCAGCGCAGCAGUUGUUGAAGCAUUCGAUCCGAAAGAGAGAGCAAAAGCUUGAGGGACCAUAUUCAUUACACCCUUAGAGCCAUGCUGACUAGGAUCGCCGUGCUGCUUAUUAUUGGCAGGUGGCAUCACUCCAAAGUUCAUUGCUUGGACAGGAAAUGCGUACGUCUGCCCGUUAUUAUUACAUUCCACAGACUGAGAAACCAAACCGUCAGGAACCGAUGAGCCGCCACUUUUCCUGCUAGUUAGCUUAUCUGGCUGUGAUGAGUAAGGAAAUUUGUCGUCACUAGUUUUCGUACUGGUGUGCUGAUGAUUACCCUUGGGUUGUUUGUGAGAUGACGAGCCACCAAAUAUCGAAGCUGAUUGGACUGGAGCAUGAGGAAGGGAUAAUGGCGGCUGCUGCUGAUUUUGAGUGACAUUAAACGCUGGCGACGAAUAUAGAGAGGAGUUAAAGAAGGGCAUAUUGGGGUGUACUCCUCUGAAAGAAGGCAAAUUUGGGAAACUAUUGUUCUGUAACAUUGCCAUGUAUGGAGAAGCUUCCAUGGAUGGAAAUGUUGGUUGAUUAAAGCUCGCAGAACCUGGUGCCCCAUGCAAGGGCAAGUUAACUGAAAGCCUCCCAGCUGAAUUAGAGGGCAGCGAUUCGUUGCCAACUGCUGAAGCGGGUACGGAAGAAUUAGCUGCUGAUGUCAUCGUUGUUUGGCGUUGACCGUUCGGAAAGAUUAAACCAGAGCCAUGCUGCAAUCAUCAUAAUAAAUAAAUAAACAGGGGUUUUAACUUCGAAUCGAGCGUGACGCAGUCACGGUUUCAAUAACUACAGGAUAAAGACCGAAAGAACUUACCGAAAAGUUAUUAGCUUGUUGGAAAAUAGACUUGCCAUUUGCUGUGGCAUUGAAAGCAGCUGCAGCAUCAGAGAUUUUAUCUAUUCUACUUCCAUCUGAAAUGGUGGUAGCAAAAUUCUGUACUCCUUGAAAGUCUCCGUGAACGAGCUUUUGUCUUGACUUGGAUUUUAGGUUCGAUGGUUUGGUUCCAUAUAAAGUAGGAGGACCAAUUGGCCCAGACGAUAGAGAUUUUUUGAUGAGUUGCUGGUGAUACUGAAUGUUGUUGGCAACGUUUUGAUGAGUUAAACAUCUCUUCAGUCGAGGUUGUGAAAAAUUAAAUUGAGGGGGCUGCAAAUUUUGAGACAAUCAAUUUAGUUAGUUAUAAACUGAACCAAAUAAGAAACAUUGCUCCGACAAAACCAAAGGUGUACCUGCAUUGUCAUCGAAGAUCUGGCACUUCCAUCUAUUGGCAAAACUGCUUGCAUGGUGGGAGGCAUAUAUCUGCAUACGAAACAACUUGUUUAGCAAUGGGCAGGCAUUUGUUAAACAGAAGAAUAAACCGAGACUUUAGUAUACACACCCUGGACGAGGAAGAACACUAGGCCAGCUAUUCAUACCAAAAGGGAAAGACAACAAGGGAGUUGCAUCUGCAAAAAUAACACGUCAGUCAUACAAUUUAGCUGAAAAAAAUAUCAUGAUCGCUUCGAUUUUGGGAUCAAGUAGAUUGGUAUGAGGAUUUUACAUUGACUUUUCUGAUCGUUACGAAUCUGCUGCUGUUGGGUAGUACUGUCACCGACUCUUGGGAUAUCAUGCCUACGCUUGUCCAGGUCAAGGUUUGGCAAUCUAUUAUUACUAAUUACUCUAGUAGUUUCUUCCGACAUUUGAGUUGCAACUGCCAAGGGACAAUCCUUUGAAAUAGCGUCACUCUUCUGCAAAAGAAUUACACGAAAAAACAGUUUCAGACUAACUGAACAAAUAAAAACCCCAAUUAGAAAAUAAAUACACAUGAAAAGAUCAGCAUGCCUUUUGAACAUCCGGGGUAAUUUCUUUAGGAUCAAUAGGCAUAUCAACCAAGAAAUCUCUCUCCGAGGAUGAUGGCAAAGGUGGAGGAGCCUGUCAAAAGAACACAAUAUUCAGAAUAUUUAUUUAAUAGAAAAAAGAAAUCAUAAGCCCAACUAAAGGAACAACUCUUAUAUGGCACACAUACCAUCAAAUCAAUCUCUGGCUUCGCUAUCUUCUUCGCCGCAACCCGGAUUGUUGCCUGAUCUCUGUAGCGGCACCAUAGAUGGACAUUGUUAUACAGAUGGGUUCAUGAGAAAGAAAGGAAAAUUAAAAGGGGAAAAAAGAAGAGAGAGAAAAUUUGGUAUACUCACGCUUUUGUCACUGUCGGAUCCUGAAUAUCACAAGCAUUUACUGUAACACAUGAUGGCGAUUCGGUUUCUUUUGGAGACCCCACUUUUCCUUUAUUCACAAAUCCAUCUUCUCCACCCACUACUAAUUCUUGAGCUGGGUCAUCAUCGUCGGCAAAUUUCUCUUUAUCAAUUCUUCUCUCUUUCUUCAAUUCUUUCACUGAGUCGGCCAAAGUUGUUUCACCACCCACUUUUAUUGAUUGCUCGUUUUGAACUAUAAAGGCAUUAUUCUCAUCUUUACCACCCGCAGCUUUUAACCUCUUUAAAUCUGUAAUCCCCACCAAAUUCACAUUUAUGAAGAAAAAUACGAGCAACAAUUAUGCACUGACUCCCGAAUAAACAGAUCACGAGAAAUAAAACUUACCGGCAUCAGCUGCUGCUGUGUCAGCGCUUUCUCUAUCAACCUUCGGCGGAGAUUGGGACUGCGACUGAGAUUGUUUCAUCAGAUCGAACAAAGCUUCAGCAACUUCGAUCUCGAUUUCAUCUUGAAUAACUGAUGAAGGUUUGGAAUUAGAUGCGUCACUCAGAACCUUCGUUCUCGGCUCUGCAGAUAUCUGGGGAGUCGCAACACAUCUCUGUUAAUAUUUGGAAAAUGAAAAUAAAUUGUACCAAAAAUUAAAUCCAUAAACAAGUGCUCACCAUCUUCUUCGUUGAAGCACCGGAAAAUGAUGGCGAACCACUGCCGGAACCAGUCAGACCCACUAUAGCCGGAGAUGAUGAAAAUCUCCGGCGGUUCAAGUCAUCACCUCCGACGCCGCCUGAAUUGCAGUAAUCUUGCAACCUCUUUGCAGAACCUAUAAAAAAUAGAUAUAUAAAAAAAAAAAAAAAACAUUAAACAAAAAAAGUAACAGCAAAUUAAACUCAACAAAUAGACCAAAUAUUCCUGACUUCUGAAAACAUACCAGAGCGAGCUCUCCGGGGUACAGGAACACCGAGCAUUUCAUCGCCGGCGGCUCUGACCACCGGCGACGACCGGAGAGUACGGAGGCCCGAACGGCUAUUAGACAGAGAAGAAGACGUUGGCGACAGUUGACUCGUCCGAUUUCGCUGAUGAAUUCUCGUCUCCUCUUCCUCUGCACAGUAUUCUUCAUCACUCGAGUCCGUACUCUCGUUCUCUCUAUAACUUUCACCACCACCGCCACCGCCACCGCCACCACUCCUCUGCAGCGCACCGUGCCUAUCAACUCUCCUUCUUUUCGCAAACUCUCGAUCCCGGACUUUCUUCUCGAACUGCUCUCGAUCUCUUAACCUCAACGUUUCCUGCAAUUCCACCUGUCUAUCCAUGUCUGUGAAAAAUAAAAAAAAUCGAUUAGAAAGCACUUAUCAAACAAUAAUCCAAUCCAUAUAUAUCUAUAAAAAAAUUCUAACCAGUUGAAUCUCUCAGAUUGAGAGCAGUAAUUUUUGGCCGUCUUCUCGGCAAACCAUUAACGGUAGAAAUGGUAGCUUUCCGCAAAUCUCUGUUUCUCUCCAUCAGCACUGUAAAUCUCCAAUCGUCAAUCACAGAACUCGCCGGAUUCCGACCAUUUCCGACGACGGAAAACACCGGAACAAACGAAAAUGAAAUCCGAAAAACUGCAAGCAAGCUCUAUGAUUCACCUAAACAAAUCGGAAACUUGUUGAAAAUCUCUCUCUGUUUCUCCUUUUUUUGCUUUGUUGUGUGCUCUCUCUCUCUCUCCUCACUUUUUUUAUUUUCUCUCUCUUCUCUCUCUCUCUCUAUCUUUCUCUGUGGUCUCAUCUAAUCUGUAGUUUGUUGUUUAUAAGUGUCACGCGAAACCUACUCCAGAGCCGAGAUGGACGGCACCGAUAUCUCUCUUGCCCUCGAGACGUCAUAUUCACCGCAAGAUCUGGUCUACAUCCAAGGGUCACGAUUAGCCGGUGCCAACAUGGCACAACUGUCACUUUCCCGAUUAUAAUAACCUGCUUUGGGCCCUCUUUCCGCCACGUCCCUCAUUUAUUUCCUAUUUAUUUCUUUUUUCCUCUUUUUUUCCUGUGGAUUUUUUUAUUUAUUAAUUACUCUACAAAUUAGCUUCCUCGAUUAUUUCAGAUUGUUUAUGAUAACAGUAACUAUUAGUACCUACCUUAAUUAAAUAAAAUAUAUGCACAAUCUAAUGUCGAUUUAAUUUCCUUAUUCAGAAUUUAUGCUACCAUAUUCAAUAUUUCAUAUCUCCUAUUGUGAAUUAUUUCGAAAAAUAUUUUUGGGAUUCAAUUAAAUUCCCUAAAUUGAAUUAUAUUACCUAUAUUGCAAAAGUUGUCAUUCAGAUUGUAUUAAUUCAAUUCAAGACACCUGUUAAAAGUGUUAAUUUGCUCGAAAUACGUAUCUGAUACUUAAAAUGCAAAAAGAUUUUUCAUAAUUACUAUAUGUUAAUUAUUUUUUUAGGAAUAUUAAAGUAUGUUAUUGAUAAUAAUAGUUGCGUAAAAGGACUUGAUAUGAUGAUUUUUUUCCUUAGGGACUUGGGAGAAAAUUCACCUAAUUCGAAGAAAAAAAGGAAUUUGCAAUACAGAUAAAGUAGAAUUGAUUUUAUUAUUAUAGUUGGAUUCUGUAAUUAAAUUAUAUAUGUCGUAUAAGAACAAAUUCAAUUAGAUCUCCCACUCUAUUUUAGAAGUUUUGCAGCUGCUAAUUUAAUUUUGAUAAUCUACAUCUAGUGCAGUAAACCCACACGCGCUAGUCGGAGCGUCGGCCAGAAACAUGGUUCACUAGCUACUGCCACUUUUAGUUGCCGUUCCGAUUCCCUGCUCUGCGAAAAAACUGAAUAAUAAAAGGACGAAAAUAUCUUACCUGCGCGUACGUUAUUGCCUAAUUGGCAAAAUUAAAAAUAAUAAUAAUUAAAAUAAAUAAACGACUAUAACAGCUCACGUGGGAUUCAGUAAGACGAAAAGACCGGUUCGUACCUUCUGCUGCUCCGCUUGUACCACAACCCGUUUUUUUCUCGGCGGGUCCCACCUCCUCGAAUAAAGUACUUCCGACGUGGCAGCAGGACGACAAUGUGGGUCCUACUAGAGCUGAUGUUGCGCUAUUUUUAAUAGCUCCGCUAGGAAGAGCGAGAUUAUCGCCGAUGGUGCUGCCGAAUCCGACGGUUGAGAUUUUUCUCCGAUAGGAGUCUCCGGAGCCGGAGUCGUUUCCCGGUCAAUCCACCGCGGCAGCUGUAAUGAAGCUUGAUAUAAAAAUAUAUAUAUUUGAUAUUUCCAAAUCCAAUAGUCAGUUAUUUGUCUUGAAAAUAUGUAUACGGUUUACUUAUUAGUACUAAAUAAAUAUAAGUAUUCUGAUAAAAUCAAAAAAUAAUUGAUCACAUAAUGGAAUUAAAAUCCACCGUGUCAAAUUUAAGACCAGAAAUUACUAUAAUAAUUAAUAAUAAUCACGCCAGGUAUUCAAUUUUUAUUGAAAGCCCCACUCCAGAAUAAGUGGGUCGCCUUGGAUCUUGUUAGCUGCACGGCCCACCCCACUUCGACAUGUUUCUUUUAUUAUUUUAACUUACUUAUAAUAAUAUACAUUAUUAUUACUAUUUUGUAAAAUUAAAGCUUAUUAAUAUUUACUGAGAAUUAAAAUAAAAGUUAAUUCUUAUCUCAUGUCAUAAAGAUUUAUUUUUGCAUGUAUUUAUUUAUUUAUUUUUUCUUGAUUUUUUAUCUAAACCGCAUGAAGUAUAAUCAAAUUUAACAUCAAACACAACCUUGUGCUUCACAAUAUAUAUAAACAGCAUCUUUGUUAGUUUAUUUUAUUAACGUAGUGGACGCCACAUGACAACCAAUUAUAUAAGAUGAUGAGAAAAUAAAUUAUAUAUAUUAUUUGGUCGUAGAAAAAGGGAAAAAAAUAAAUAUAUUAUAAUAUACGACUAAGUUAUUGGGUGAUCUAGAUUUUGUCCUUACAAUGUUGAUUUAUGUAUAAGAACAUAGUACAAUCUUACUAAUUAUAAUAAGGGUCCAUUUGAUAUACACCCCUCAUAUGGAAAAUAUAUAGGCAUAGGUCCACCCCUAAAAAUCUUUCUUUGAGAUACACCCCUGGAGAGGCAAAAGUACUAUUGUACCCUUAUUUGCAAUUUUCGCCCAACUGCAUUCAGUAUUUUCACCAACUGCAUUUAUCAUUUUGAACCUGCAUUUAAUAUUUUUGUACUGCAUAUAUCAUAAUUUUUAAUUUAAUAUUUUUUUAUUCAUGUACAUAUAUUGUAACUUUUUUUUAUUAGUAGUAUAUUUUUUUAUAAAAUAUAUUUUUUUUAAUAUUUCAAUUUUUUUAAUAUUUCAAUUUUUUUAAUAUUUCGAUUUUUUCAAUAUUUCAAUUUUUUUAAUUUUUUUAAUUUUUUUUUAAUUUUUUUAAUUUUUUUUUAUUAAUUCAAAUUUUAGUAAAAUUCCUGAACUGAAAGUAUAGUUAUAUAUAGUCAUGUAUUCUCUUUUUACCCCAAAAUUCAUCUACACUAAUAAAUAAAAUUCACAAUUUAGAUCUUGAUAUUAUAAAUCAACUAACAAACAAAAAAUAAAAAAAAUACAAUCACAUGCAUAUAUUCUUCAAACAUGAACACAUUAAAAAACCUAUAACAUACAUAUAACUAUAUGUUACUACAGAUGACUAUAGUUAUCUACAAUUAUCUAUAUUAAUAUAUAGUGACAUAAAGUCUAGACUACUGUAGCAUGAAUCCAACUUCAUUAGGCACUUCAUCGCAUCUUAUUCCCUGCAUAUCAUAAAAGCAUAAUAAAAGCAAAACCUGCGACAAAAAAAUACGAGUUAAAGAGCCAAAUGGAACAUGCGAGUUAGAUUGUAUGAAAAAUACAAAAAAACAUAAUUUUUUUUUGUUGAUAAAUUUACUUAACUGAAAUCGAAUACAAAUGACUAUAGUAUACUACAAAUUCUAUAGUCAUGUAUAGUAAUAUGUAGCCAUGACUAUAUAUGACUACAUAUGACUGUAAUAUAUGACUAUAAUAUAUGACUAUAUAUGACUACAUAUGACUGUAAUAUAUGACUAUAUAUGACUGUAAUAUAUGACUAUAUAUGACUAUAUAUGACUACAUAUGACUGUAAUAUAUGACUAUAUAUGACUGUAAUAUAUGACUACAUAUGACUACAUAUGACUGUAUAUGACUAAAUAUAAUUGUAUAUUCACCUGACUCAAAUCACCCAUUUAAACAUUUACAUUAUAAAUCAACUCAUAACCAAUAAAAUAAAAGUUACAGAUUAGCUACCUUAGCCAAAAAGCUACAAAUCUCCCAAUCAUUGCCCCAAAAACAAAAAACCCCCAAAAAAUUCAAACUCAAUGCCACUAAUUGUUACGAAAUAAAAAAUAUUUAUGACAAAAAUCAUUUAUAACAAAAAUAAACAACAUAAGAAUCAAAACGAAAUAAAAAAUCAAAUUAAUCCAAAGAAAAAUAUUUUAAUAUUAAUUAUUCACAGAUCUUAAAAAAUAGUAGAUCUAAUUUUAAAAAUAAUAGUAGAUCUAAUUAUGAGACAGCUAAUUAAUUAAAUCAAAAUGAUAAUAAUGUGAGGAUCUGAUCUGAGGAGAAUAAUGAAUAAUACAGAAGAAGAAAGUGACCUGUGUUGAUCUUUGUGGUUGGAUUUGAGAGUGUAUUUGCGGAGCGGCGGCAACGCUGCGAGGUAGGGGAGUGGCGACGGCGGCGUUGCGAGGUAGCGGAGCGGCAACAACGGCGCAACGAGGUGGGGGAGCAGCGGCGGCGGUACAACGAGGUGGGGGAGCAGCGGCGGCGGCGCAACGAGGGGAGGGAACAGCGGCGGCGACGGUGGACUGUGGGUAGAGCGAGAGUUAGAGAGAGAUGAAGAGAGAGAGAGAGAGAGAAAGGGAGAAAGAGAGAGAGGGGGGAUAAAUGUCGGCUGAUAGAUGUGGGAGUGGGAGUGGGAGAAAAGGCUAGGGUGUUAGGGUUUGAAUAAAAUUAAAAGGGUAAAAUAGGUAUUUUAAUUUAUCUAGGGGGGUCUAUCAAAUUAAGAUUAAAAUUUGGGUUUUUGACUAGGAAAGAAAAGUCAAUAGGACUUAUCCAUAUAUAUUUUCAAAACUAGGGGGUUAUCCCUCAUUUCCCCUUAUAAUAAUCUCCCACGUCGUAAAACAAUUGUUUAUAAAUUUCCAAACUUUCUAAUUUUAAAUUGAGUUACAGAAUGUAGAGUUAUAAAUUGAAGAAUUGGACCUUAUUGAAUAUUUAAUAAAUCCAAUAAUUUCUCGAACCCCGACUGUGACGAAAAUGGCACCUAUGUUGACUUAAUACGAGAUCAUUUAUUCAACUUCCUACGGUACAAAUCAUCAGAUAUAAUUGAGAAAUACAAUCAUGUCAAAAAACAACUUUAUCCUUGGCAAGAAAAUGUACAGUUAACGAGGAACAAUCGAGCAAGUUGAAGCACCAUACGACAUCGUAUUUCCCCAAAGUGCAUUUCCUAUGUACCACAUACACAUGUACUGGUUCUUAAACUUGUCAUAAGCAAAAAAAAAAAAAGGAAGAAGCAUAAGCAUAGGGGAAAAGAGCUUCUCAAAAUAUCUCUAGUGCUGGGAAUUCACAUCUCUACACCUUUGCAUAAAUCCUUCAUACUGUCAGCAACUCCUGCAAAAAAAAUUAAAAUAAAAUUGUAUCCUUAAAUUAAUGUCCCAGAUUGAAUAUAAUUUAUCAAUAUAAUGAAAACGACGAUGAAAAGGCAAGGAAGCUGAACCUUCUCUUUCUGUUUGAGGAUUGUAUCGAUCUUCUUCAUGUACUCAUCAGUCACUUUCUGUAAACAAACCCAAUAUCCAAUUAUCACCAAUACACAAACAGAAAAUGAAAAUAAAAUAAAGACAAUAAUCAAGAACCUAAUCUCGACACAGAAAAUAAAAGUCCAGAGAGAAAUUUGCUAGAGUUUCGUACUUCUGUCUGUUUAUUUUAUGAAAAUGAACUAAUUUAGGUACCUGCAAGUCAGCAGAGAGGUCCUUGACAUUAUCUUCAGAAAGCUUCUUCUCCUGCAAAAUACGUUUGUUGCUUAUUAUUACAAUAAACCUAUGACGUGGGCCGUGGGCCGUGGGGUGGGGUGGGGUGGGGGGUGCUAUAUUAGGCAGACCUUCUGAAGUUGUCGUAGGAUUUGAUGGCGUCUCUUCUUAUAUUCCUUAUAGCAACCUAAACAUUAAGAGCAACUUAAGAACAAGGCUGAACCAACAAUUGCGUAAUGUGGUUCGUUCAGAAUCUGUAGCAAAAAGGAAGUGUUUGUUACCUUGCCUUCUUCAGACUGCUUAGCCACAACCUUUAUUAACUCCUGCAAACCACAAAAUAACCAAAAUUUUAAAAAUUAAAAACAGAGCAUCUUGUGUUGCAUAAUGUAUAUAUAUAUAUAUAUAUAUAUAUAUAUAUAUAUAUAUAUAUAUAUAUAUAUAUAUAUAUAUAUAUAUUCGGGCAAUAUUUUGAGAAACAAUACAAAUUCAAUUAUAAACCAUUCGCUUAGCUACAAAAUACAAUACCUUCCUCCUGUCAGAUGUCAGUUGAGGAAGGGUCAAUCGAAUAACAUCUCCAUCGUUAUUUGGAGUCAGACCAAGAUCGGGAGAGGCCACAAUUGCUUUCUCUAUAGCCUUCAAGCUGUGUUAAAAAAAUAAAAAAUAAAAAAGACACUCCAAAUGUUAUUGGAUCGCACAAAUAAUAGAACAUUUAACUCCAGUUGAAGGAAACAAUAACUGCAUGCAACCCUUCAAUUUGUUCCUAUACGACCAACAUAGCAUGGAUGCGCUGACUAUCAGUAACCAAAAGUGUAUGGGAGGGGCAAAAUCGUACAUUUCAUUGUCACCACAUUUUAUAACCUAAUCGGAAAAAAAAAAAAACUUGAAUGCUAAAACUAGAUGUUUGUACUAGAAAUAUACACCUGGAUUUGUCAUAGGGCUGCACCAAGAGGGAACUUGAAUCGGGAGUGCUUAUCUGAGCUAUACUCUUCAACGGGACUGGUGUUCCAUAGUAGUCCACCUAAUAAAGUCCCGUGAAGGAAAUUCAAAACGGUAUUGGUGAAUAAAUUAAGUUAUCCAAGAAAUUAAAUGAAAACGAAAUAGAAAGACCUUAACACAAUGUUGAUGAAAGUAAGAAAUGACGAAAAUUGAAAAAUUCAAGAAUACACAAUAACGAUAUGGAAAACGGAAAACGGAAAACGAAAAAGAUAUCCCGUAAAAUAACGAUACGGAAAACGGAAAACGCAAAAGUCUAAUCGCUUGGGCGAGUUAGAUAGUAAGAUGUAUAAUACCUCGACUUUGUCUAGUAUGGAUGGGUUUGAUCUUCCGGUUCUGAUAGAAUUGAAACUGGUUUUCACAUUGUCAAUAGUCUUUUCCAUCUUUUCUUUCUGAAGAACAAUUAAUGAAUUAAUGAAAAUUAGUACUUGUAGGUCGUUUGUGAGGUUUCUAGAUGCAGCUAACUAAGAAAUUAAUCGGUAAAUAAUUAAAAUUCGUACAACAGCUUUUUCAAUCAUUGAUUUCUCCGCUUCAAUUUCUUCAAUAGUUGCGCAUUUCAACACUCCGAUUCUGAUAUAUUAAACGAGUUCAUCAGUAACACACUACUAACAAAAAAAAAAAAAAAAAAAAAAACCAUAAAACAAUUAUAGCAGACAAAUAUUUUAAGAACCUUAUAAACUUGCCUCUUCUUCCAUGUCUGCUUAACAACGAAGGGCUUCCCGGAAAACCCUCUCGCCGCCGACACCUGAAGCUUGACGUAAUUCGCCGACGCACUCCAACAACCCACAUUUCCAAAAUCUGCAGUAAAGCCAAAACUCAAACACGCACUCGUAUGAUAAAUAAUUAAUAGCCAGAGAGACGAGAGACGAAAAUGGAGUUUCUAGGAAAACCUGGGACUGAGAGACGGUUCUUGGGAAGAUUAGACGCGUAGCAAACGGUGCGUACGUGAGAUGCAGGCGAGAAUGUUGUCGCCAUAGGGAUGACACUCUAUGUGUUCGAUGAAAUGCCUCAGUUGAAUUCUCUGACUUUCUUUCUAUCUAGUUGAGGACGAGGAAUUGUGGAUAAGAGCGAUCCUUUUGCACUGGGACAUUCACCCACCAAAUACGCUAAUUCUUUGUGUAAAGAUUUUUGCCCUUCACGGCCCAAAUACAAAAUUGAAUUUCCUAUUUUACCCCUCGAGUUUGUAAAUAAAUUUGGAUUUCCUAUUUUAAGCGGGUAAAAUUAAGGUUACCAAUGAGGUAAUGUCAAAUUACGAGAAACCUCCUAUUUUUUUGUUAAUUCCAACCCCUCUCAACUACGAAUCGUCUCACGGUGUCAAAUUUAGCGGAAUCUUUUAGAUUAUAUGUGGAACAUUCUUUAGUUUGUACCCGUUUUACACCCUUCCAACUCCCUAUUUUGAAAUAAGAUAAUCAUAAAAUGCAUCUUUCGCCCUGUAAAAUAUCAGAUUGUGGUUCAUCUAAAACUUUAUUUUAGCAUAAAAUGGGUACAAACUAGAAAAUAUCUCACAAAAUCAAUACAUUCCGUUAAAUUUGACAUCGUAAGAGUGGACGUGCAAGAUAAUUUAUAGUUGAUAUAUGGUUGUAAUUACCUAAAAAAAGUUUUUUUCGUAAUUUGAUAUUGUCUCGAGAGGGUCACCGUAAUUUAACCUUAAUAUUUACAAGUAAAAUUAAGUUUCCCAUUAUACCCACAAGACUCUGAGAGACUCUAAGUAAGUACUAUAAUUUAUUUGGAAUUAGGCAUGUUCAUUUAGUAAAAUGGUGACCUAAAAUCCAUUACUCCAAAAUUUAAUAUCGUCGCGGAACUGAACUAUACAAUUUGAUUUAUUAGUCACCAAAAUAUGAAAAAAAAAUUGAAAAUGGUUGAUUCGAUCUAAUGAAUAUACACGUGUGUGUGAAUUUCUUAAUAAGAAACAAAUUUGUUUGUUCAUAUUUGCAUACCCUUAUAUCUUAAUCUCACACAAAUUCAAUGGCUAAUCACGUGUUAUCACAGUAAGACUAUUUCCCCUCCUCUUUUUUUUUUCAAAUGAAGCCAAAGCAAAUAGAGGUACAGUCACGUUUACAUGGUAAAAAUAACAUGCCAAAUCCCACUCACACUCAUGCAUAAAUUGUGACUCUUUUCACUGCACAAAAAUUCUUUCUGCCUUGUUGCACCAAAUAACACGUACUACCCCCUCUAUAUAAUGUGCAUUUCAACAACAUUUUUACUUAACAAAUUCAAUCAUGGGUGGGGUGUUAUUGUGGCUAUUGUUAAUCAUGAUUUCUAUUUCUGGAUUUUGCAAAGGUGCUGUGUACAAAGUCGGUGAUUACGCGGGGUGGACUAUUGUCGACAACAUGGAUUACAACAAAUGGGCUUCUUCCAAGACCUUUCGCGUCGGCGACACGCUUAGUAAGUCUAUUUCUUAUUUGCAAAAACGUAAAAUAAAUUAAUAAAUGUGCCCUUUUUUUAUUUUCGUCGAAAUUUUAUGAUUAUUUUUUUUUUAUUACGUGUAGUUUUCGAGUACGAUAAUCUGUUCCACAAUGUGUUGGAAGUGACCCGAUCGGAGUUCCACUCGUGCGACGCAGAAUCUCCAAUCGCCACAUACGACAGCGGGAAUGACUCGGUGGUGAUACGUAGCCCCGGACACUAUUACUACAUAUGUGGUUUAGAGGGCCACUGCCAGGCUGGACAGAAGGUUGAUAUAAGGGUGCCCAAGUCUAAUGAGCCCGCCAAAGGCCCAAUUCAAAGCCCGAUUCAAGUAACUGGUGGUGCUACCGCUCCAAAGGGCUCUCCUAUUGGUACAAUGGCACCAGGCCCAUCUCACAGUGGUGGAGAGUCUCUAAACAAUUGGCUGUUAUCUUACAAUCUUGGGGUUUUGCUUAGUCUUGUUUUGAUUUUCUAUUAACAUUGGGUUACUUUUAUUAGGUUUAUCGAUCGGCUUAUGUAUUUUUUGUUCCUGUAAUUCGGUUGCUAUUUUUAUGUAUUUUUAUUUAACUAGAAACCCGUGGAGGGUAAUUUGGUAAUUUUCUUUUAGUAUAUUAUGACGAUAUGAGUAUUCGUUUUCUAGCAUGAAACAAAUUCCUACAGCAGUGUACAAUUUUUCGAAUAUCGUGUUUAAGUUAAUUUGUUAGGCUGUUUUCUUCUCUUGAACGAGAAAAUUAGUUAUGAAAAACCUGCAGUUAUGUUUAAUUAAUUUAUCGAAAAAUUGUAUACCGGACAUUGGUUUCCAAUCGAAUAAUCGUAAAAACCAGUAUAAUAUUAUUCCAAAUUACAAAAUAUUGAAAAAUCAAAUGAAGCUUAAGUGACGUGAGGCAUCGAAAUCGAAUUGACUAGGAAAAUGGACAUAGUAACUGCAUAAUGAGUUGGAGUUAUUCUAUACCAAAUGUGUGAUAUAACAACGUUUGUGCUGUCGCAUUUUUUUAGCUGGUGGAGGUGUAUGCUUGUUAUUAAUGUGAUUGAAAUAUAGUGAAAUUGCAUUUCACCAAAUUUGCUUGACUUCUUCUUCUUUCAUAUCUGUUACUGUGAAACUCAUUUGCAUUUCACCAAAUUUGCACCGUCUUUGAAGAAAUUAAAUUAAGAUGAUACAUAAAUUUGUCAACAAUCAUUUUAAGUUCAGUAUUGUACGUUUUUAAUCGUCUCUAAUUUCCACCAAUUUGUUGCCCGAACCAAUUGUUUUUACAAUUUUGGAAAACCAAUAAAAGAAUAUUGGGGAAAGAACAUUUUUUUUUCCUACGCUCCCACACGUGCACCGCAUGCCCAGAUGAAGCCACUAUACACAAUAAUGUGUAGGAUUUUGUCGAUAAUUCACUCAAGUUGUUCACCGGAAAAGCAUCAGAAAAAACGUUUUUUUGCAGAUGGUAUGGUAGUAAGUAAAAAAUUGAAUAAAUAUAAAAAAUCAAGUACACUAGUAUCCAAUUUCCCCUGUAAAACUGAAAAUUAAAUCAUCCGUCAAUCUCACACGGAUGGUUUAACAUGUUAUUAGAUUCGAUCUCAAAUCAUUUGCCACCGUUUUAUAGGUAAAAAUGUAUUCAGUAGCCUAGUAUCGUUUAAUUUAAUCUCUCGUAUAAUUCGAGACAAAUAUAAAUUAUUUUUUUAUCCAAUGUAUUUCGAGUGGCCGGAAGAACCAAUUCAUCUCUAGAUACUACUCUCUCUAUAUAUAUACACGUAUACAUACGGUGAUACACACACCAACUCAUCCACUCAAUUCUUAAUACCGGCCCCCAUACCACACUCAUCAUCACUCUCUCCCGGACAAAAUUGCGUGAUAAUUAAACACUCACCGUGUGCGUGUUUUACUUGUGAAAAAACAAGUACAGCAUUUCAUCGAUCCCCAUUAAUGCGCUUCAGUAACUAAGCGUGACCUUUCAGUUUUUUACGGAUUUUUUUCUCUCAAAAUCCGCGUACCUAUACAUACACCUAUAUAGCUGUACCUCGUUCCUAAUUAAAACACUCUACUCAGUACUCUGCCGUCGGUAUUUUUAUUUGUUACGGUGUGGUGCAAUUUCAAUUUUUUCUCUGCAGUAAGAUAGUGAUGGAUUUGAGCAAGGUUACGCAGGAGAUUUUCACGAAGCUGGAGCAGAAAUGGCUGCACCACUGUGAAGGAAAGCGAACGCGUGUUUUGAGCAUCGACGGAGGAGGAACCACCGCCAUUGUCGCUUGCGCCGCUCUGGUUCAUCUGGAAUACCAGAUCCAACUCAAAACCGGCGAUUCGAACGCUCGUAUUGCUGAUUUUUUCGAUAUUGUUGUCGGUACAGGAAUCGGAGCUCUUCUCGCCGCAAUGUUAGUCGCCGACGACGGUUUUGGCCGGCCGAUUUACUCCGCCGGAGAGGCGGCUAAGUUCGUGGCGGAGAAUCAGUCGCAUCUCUUCAAAGUCAAAAACGUCGGGGUAUUCCGCCGGCGAAUUAGGUUUUCAGAGAGGAGCAUGGACGCGGUGCUGAAGAAGGCCUUCCGGAGAGAUGACGGCAGGGUUUUAACCCUCAAGGACACGUGUAAGCCUCUCCUCGUUCCGUGCUUUGACUUGAACAGCUCGGCGCCGUUUGUGUUCUCUCGAGCCGACGCCAUCCAGUCGCCCAGCUUCGAUUUCGAUCUCUGGAAAGUGAUCCGCGCCACGUCAGCUACGCCGUCGAUGUUCAAGCCGUAUCCGCUCUCGUCCAGCGACGGGAAGACCUCUUGCCUGGCGGUGGACGGCGGACUUGUGAUGAACAACCCCACCGCCGCCGCCGUCACUCACGUUCUGCACAACAAGACCGAUUUUCCGUCAGUAACCGGAGUUGAUGAUCUGUUGGUGCUGUCAAUCGGAAACGGCGCGUUAAGUAAUCCGUCAAGCAUGACAUUCAGCCGUAACGGCGACUGCUCGACGGCGUCACUCGUCGGCAUCGUCCUUGACGGCGUCUCGGAAACCGUUGAUCAAAUGCUGGGCAAUUCCUUCUGCUGGAAUCCUAACGAUUACAUUAGAAUUCAGGUAAUUUUAUUUAAUUUAAUCUAAUGUAAUUUCUUAUUUAAAAUUAAUUUUCACCUUUCAGUUUACGGAAAUAACUGUGUAAUUAAGAUCCCGACGGCGUUAUCUAAUUUGCAGGCUAACGGUAUCGCGGGAACAACGGAGGAGUUGUUGGAGGAGAGAGGAGUGGAGUCGUUGCCGUUUGGCGGGAAGAGGUUGCUGACGGAGACUAACGGACAGAGAAUCGGAAGUUUUGUGCAACGGCUUGUGGCGGCGGGAAGGAGCAGCCUGCCGCCGAGUCCGUGCAAGGAAACAGCCGUUAGCCCCCUAGUUAACGGCCGUUAAUGUUAAUUUGUUACCGUCUCUUCUUUAAUUUGUCCUUUUCUGUUCAGUUUUAUUAUUUUAUUAUUAGCCCGAUGUCAGUUAACUGUCUCUAUUGUCAACUUUAACCAGUAGCAGUGCACUUAAAUAAAACUCCUACAUAUAGUACUAGUGAGUAGUGAGUGACUGGCACUUGAUUAAAUAAAUCGACUCUGUUCUCUCUUUCUCUUCAAUUUAUUAUUAAUUACACUACUGAUUUAUUAAUCCAAGAGCCAUAAUAUAAAAUAUAAAACGCCAUUUAAUUAAUUAAAUUAGGAAAUUACAAGCUGGCAAUUGUUUUACAGUUUUACUGCUCAUAAAAGAUAAAACCACCUGAAGCCGACAAGAUUGGACUUAUCUUCAUUUAUCACUGUACGUUUUCUGGGCCAUGCUAUAAUCUAUAUAUACUCCGGAUUUUUUUUUUUUUUUUUUUUGUAAAUAAUUGCUUAUUAUUAAUUACCUAAUUGAAAAAGAACAAUGAAUUUUACUUAUGUCAAAUCAGUAAAUGUAUAAAUGUUAAAUUGAAGCUGGAGAAGUUAUGUCACAAAUAAUAUAUAAGCUAGAUUCUUCCCUAACAAAACUCCAACAACUUGCAUUGAGUCUAGUCACUCAAAUUAAAGUAUUUAUAUGUAAUAUAAAAAAAGAACAGUCACUAUGAAAACUAAAAAUAAAUAAAUAUAUAAAAAGAACAGUAUUUCGAAAACCUUUAUUUUUUAUUUUUAAUUAAUGCAGUUGAUGCCUGUAAACGUGGACGUCGUGAAUAUGCAGUGGAACCCCGUUAACGUCGGUGGUGAUGAAAACAUUAAAAACAUGGUUGACCAAUCACACGUGCGAAUGCUCGUCCAAGUCAAAAUUCGGCACUAGCUAUAUAAAUAUUAGUCAAAAUUAACAUAUGCAUGUUGCGGAUCUAAUUGAGUUUAAUUACUAAUUAAUUAGUAGUAUGGAGACCGACAGAAAAUUAGACCAACCGGUUUCCACCCAUUCCGGCUUGUCCCAAGAUCAUCCGCACGUGCGUCUAGCUCUCUAAAAGUAAUGUGUGUGUGUGUGUGUGUGUGUGUGAGAGAGAGAGAGAGAUUGAGAGCGUUUUGUCUGUGGUGAUUCAAUGUUUAUUUAUUAACCUAUUCAAUUACGUGAAUACUGUGUAGUGUAUGUAACCAGAAGAGAUAAAUGUAUGUAUACACAUAGGUGGACAUUUGGGUAUGGGUGCUGCUCAGCCUGCUCAACUAUUCAAUCUGCUUCGAUUUAACUCAGUUUAUCGUAUUUGACUAUAGCUCUGUAACUAAGCUAUCUAUGUAAUAUAAUAUUUUGUCUAAAUUAUGUAUUGAAGCUCUCGAAAAGGACCUUUAGCAAAUAGUAAAAACUCGUGUAUGUGUCCUUUUAGUCAUAAAAAAUAAAUUAUGAGGGAGGAGAUCCCUUGAUUAUAUUAUGCAUGCAUUUUAUUAAUAUAUUAAUUUAUAUAUUUAAGAUUCAAGAACUAUGUACAGAUGAACAUAUAUUUUAACGAUUGUUAUUUUUGCAUGAUUGCUUAGUUGAUGGAUAGAUAUAUGUUGAUAAGAUCUUGUCCCAUAACUAACGAAAUUUCACUGCCUUUUCAUUACAUAAUAAGGCCAAACAACUGUGUAAGGAUAGAUCAUACUCUUCUAUUACUUUUUCAUUCAUUCAAAUCACCGACUUCUUUUUCAUCCAAAAAAAAAUAAUAAAAAACUNNNNNNNNNNNNNNNNNNNNNNNNNNNNNNNNNNNNNNNNNNNNNNNNNNNNNNNNNNNNNNNNNNNNNNNNNNNNNNNNNNNNNNNNNNNNNNNNNNNNUUGACAUAACAUAUCAGUCAUUUCAUAUAUAUAUAUAAAUCACUUGGCAGUAUCUUGGAAGGCCGUGUUUGGUUUACCCUUCCAAAUUAUUGUAUCCGAUUCUUUGAGAAUUGAGAAAUUAUUUUGUACUUCAUUUUCUUUACUUUUCUUUUUCUUCUCGAAGAACGAUACUCGAUGAUAAUGGGGUUGGGCUGGACCUAAAUUAAAAUCAAUGCGUUCAUAACGAUUAACGAGAGUUUCAGGCAACAUGCAACGACAAUAUGAAACGAAACGGCUCUACCGAUUUGAGUAGACCGUCGAAAAUCAAAAUCAAUGGGAACAAUUGAACAUUUACAAAGAAUUGAACACUUAUACAAAUAAAUUCACGACUGAAAUUAAUCCAGAAUCAUAUGCAACAUCACUGCACGUUCGUGUGCAUACAAUUAAUUCAGUGCAUAUAUAUACAUGGAAUUUCUCGAAAUUGAUGUAAUUAUCAUCGGGGAAAAUAAAAAAAAUAAUAAUAUAAUUAUUUUCUACAGAAUCCCAUGUUAAUUUUGGCAUAUAUAUAUAUAUAUAUAUAUACACACGUGGCAAUGGAAUGAUGCUAUUCGAGGUUGGUUCGUAGGUGUACACUUGGAACACAUGCUGAAGCGGCGGACCAUCAUCUCUUGCUAUUACUUACUCGCAAAUUUACAACUCACGACUCUCUUCUACCAACAUAUAUUAAUAUAUAUUUAUUAUUCUCAAAAAUAAAUAUAUAAAUAUUUCGUACUGAAACCAUAUUGCAUGGCCAAAUAAUAAAUAAAUGGAUAUUUAAUUAUAAUUCAUUAUAGUAAAAUAUAUAGAUUCGUAUUCAACGUUGGUGUUGACCACUAACACUCUUUUCCAAUAUAUAUAUGCAUGCAGUAGCUAGUAGUUACUACAUGCAACCUAGUGACCUACUUUAAUUGAAGAUAAUUCCAAUAGAAUAAUCAAUUAUUUAAUUAGAGUUUUUUGUCCAAUUGUUAAUCAGUUAAUCUAAUGGUGGUGUGAUUAUAUAUAUACAAUAAUUGUGAAUUGGGAUACUAAUUAACCACAUCAUCAAUUGCAAGAUCAACUCGUUGGAAGUUGGAGCCUUCUCCUUCGCCGACACCACGUGGCUCAAUUAAAAAAUAGGGAAAUAAUUUUUACAAUGUAAUUAAAUGGUUGCUUUGGUAAAUGGAAGUAUAUUUCAAAGGUUAUACUCAUGCAAAUAACUUAUAAGCUUAAAAAAAUAUAAUGAGCAUUUGUAUAAGCUUAUAAAGAAAAUAAUUAAUAAAUUCAAGUUUUUUUUUUUAAAUAAUUUAUAAAUUAUUUUAAUUUGACUAAAUAAAUCUUGUUUUUAAAACCAUUUAAAAAAAAAAAAAAAAAAAAAAAGAGGAGGAGGAGGAAGAAGAAAAUUUAGUACUUAAAAGCCCACUUCUUAUACAUAGAUUCAUAGACUACAAACUAUUUGGGCCAAAUUAUUUGAAAGCCCGUCUCAGUAAAAUUCUGUUGAUGGAGGCCCACUUAUACUGACCUCAUUUUUUUGGGCUAGUCUAUGUUUACUAAGAGGUUUUACUAUUCACAGUGCGUUUUUUAUCUCUUGCAGUGCACUUUAACUCAUUUGUUGAUUCCAUAAAAAAAAAAAAAAAACUCAUUUGUUGAAUAACACUUUAGAGUUAUGAAUUUUUUUCAUGAUAUUAUCAAUUUAAAUACAACAAUUAUCAAUAUGGACGAAGUCGAUUGUGAUUUUGAAAUAAAAAGAACAUUUUUUUGUCAACAUGGCUCUAUUUUUUGAAAACGUUUUGGGAAAGCUUGACUUAAUUGUCUUUUUAUUUGGUUCUUCUGUAUUUAAUAAACUUUUAGGUUAAAUACGUCUUCGACUCGCCUAAAACCCAAACUGAGGUCACAACAUAAUACCUAUGACUUUACAUCGUAUCGCCAUACGACGUAGGGGUGAAAAACAUUUUCCCUUUGCUAGGGCUUCCUAUGUUCUUUUAACCGAUUUGGAUUUCUAGUUUUAGGCCGCCUUUCUUGGGCAUAAUUCGUGUCGUUUAUGUGGAUGAGGCCAAUAUGAACGACAUGGUCCAUAUCAUAUAUAGACACAAUAUACUUCUAUAUAUAUAUAUAUAUAUUUGUAGUUUGAUUUCUCUCGUAAUGUAUUAAUGUUCUUAGUUUUUUCACAAAAACAAAAAAGAAAAGAAAAUGCUAAUUUUUAAUAUUUUUUUUGAGAAAAAAAGAAAAUGCUAUUAGUUGAUGUUUAUUGUUUAGUAUUAGAUUUGAAGAACGCGGGAGACCAAGUUUUAAAAUAUUUAAAUAGGCGGGGGUAGGGUGAUUUGGUCCAAAGCCUUACCGCCAUUAAUCACAAAAUCCACGUAAUUCUCCCACAAAAACUUAUUUCACAAAACCAGAUCUCUCAUAUAGGUUUCCGAAAAUACCCCCCACACGCUCCCCACUCUCUCGCCCCCGCACACAAACCAUAAUAUUUUUCUCUCCCCUCCCUCAUCCCUUCUCAUGGAGAACCAGAACUCCGGCGGGCGCCACCGCGACCGUGAGCAGUCGUCGUCAACCUCGUCGUCAUCUCGUCGGAGUUUGAAGAGAAAGCUCGAUGAGGAAUUCGACGGAAGGAUCGACGAUCAGUCCCCUCUAGAUUUGCACCGAGAUCUUGUGCGAGAAGUACGCGCUCAAGUCGAGAUCCUCGAUUCCUCUUUCUCCUCCGCAGAGAAGGAUCGCGCAUCUGCCAAACACGCUAUAGGCGUCCUAUCCGAACUCGCCAAAAGCGGUAAUACAAAAGUUUUCAAAUAACAGAGAAUGGAAAUAUCUGCUUCCUCAAUUUCUUAGCGAAUUCGUUAUUUAAUUGGCCGUGCGCGGUUUUAUUGAGUGUUUAUGCGCUGUAUUUCGUGUUUGGGGUUUUGAUCCGUUAGGUAACGUUGCGCAUGUGUGAUUUUAGAGGAUACAGUGAACGGAUAAAAAAAUAAUUUAUUCUGAAAUUCUUCAAUUAAUUCGUUACUUUGUGCCUGAGAUUAGUUGAUGUUUAUUGAGUGUCAAUGUUUUGGAUUUUGAGUCUAAGGUUUUUUUAUUGAGCGUCAGUCUUUUGGAUUUUGAGUUUAAUUAAGCUUUUGCAUAAAAUGAACUUUGAAAUGUGUGGCUGCAGAGGACAUAGCAAAUGUGAUAGUGGAUUGUGCGGCUGUUCCAUCUUUGAUCAGGCAUCUUCAGGCUCCUCCGGUGAGUGAGGGAGAUAGUGGUCCAAGGCUGUACGAGCAUGAAGUGGAGAAGGGGUGUGCCUUCACGCUUGGGCUUCUUGCCGUUAAAGUAAUAAUAGUACUAUGUUUUUGUGGUUCUUUUUUAUUUCUUAUCCUAAUCAGAAAAUUCUUCGAAAUGAUAUUAAGUUGUUAUAAUCUUAUUAUUAUUCCCUAAAUUUUUUAUUUCUUAUCCUAAUCAGAAAAUUCUUUGAAAUAAUAUUAAGUUUUUUAGUGAUAGGUUGUUCUGCAAAUCUUACUGUAAAACGUUCUGUCGAUGCAGUUAUGAACCAUGGAGGUCUCUGAUUCAGUUUUCUGCUAUUCUCAAAAUCAUUUUUCUCAUUCAUAAAGAAAGAUUACGCACCUUGUCAAUAACAGAAUUUAAUCUAGUUUAAUCAUCUUUGAAUAAACAAAUAAGUCUGCCGUGCAUCAAAAGAAUGGGUGCGUAUAGUGGUGCCAAAUGUUAAGAACUUGCCUUGAUUGGAAAUAUUUCUUGAUCAUUAUAUAUUUGAUCGAUAUUUUUUAUAGAACAUAUUGAGCUUUUCCAGCAUUAAUGUUAUUGUUAAACUAAUGAAAGGAUGACCACAAAUAGAAAGAUUACAUCACAGUUACUGAAUAUAGGUUGAAUAUCUUUGUGUUACGCGUCACUCAUAUUUUUUGUCAACCUACCACUUUGUUUCACAGCCAGAGUAUCAACAGCUCAUUGUGGAUGCGGGAGCUCUACCCCAUCUUGUUGAUCUGUUAAAGAGGCAUAAGUUAAACUCGCGGGCGGCAAAUGGCGUUAUUAAGCGAGCAGCUGAUGCAAUCACUAACCUUGCUCAUGAGAAUAGCAGCAUUAAAAUUCGUGUUAGGUUGGUUUUAUUUUGUACUCAUGUGGUUGGAUAUUUGUGUUCUGCCUGUUUUUUAAUACUCUAAUUAUGUGCUUAGGGUUGAAGGAGGUAUCCCUCCUCUUGUUGAAUUGCUUGAUUUUGCUGAUCCAAAGGUGCAGAGAGCGGCGGCUGGAGCCCUUCGAACCCUUGCUUUUAAAAAUGACGAGAACAAAGAUCAGGUAUUUUGACUCAAAGUAUAUGAUGAAGUAUCUGCCUAUUUUCAUUUUUACCUUUAAUGAUAUUUUAUCGAAUUUCAGAUUGUAGAAUGCAAUGGUUUACCUACACUUAUACUAAUGCUGCGGUCUGAGGAUGCUGCUAUACACUAUGAAGCGGUUGGCUACUGUUAUAUCCCUUUGCAGUUUACUGUGCCUUUAUUUAAAUAUCUGAUAUUCUCAUACUACUGUGCCAAAAAACAGGUUGGCGUUAUUGGAAACCUGGUCCACUCAUCUCCGAGCAUUAAGAAACAAGUUCUUGCUGCUGGGGCGUUGCAACCUGUCAUCAGGUUACUUAGGUAUGAUUGAUGUAGGCAUGCUAUGAAGGCUAAUAUCUUCACUGAAAACAUAUAUGCAAGGAUCUUUGUUUUAUUUGAUUGUUAACUGAUGCCGCCUAUGAUAACAGUUCCUACUGUUCUGAGAGCAAAAGAGAGGCUGCGUUGUUGCUUGGGCAAUUUGCUGCAACAGAUUCAGACUGUAAGGUUGACCUAAAUACUUUUCUGUUUAAAAACAGCAUCAUAUUAAUUGCAUAGUAAUCUCUGAUUGUAGUCCUUGUUGAGAAAUCUUUUAAUAAUUCUUUUGUAGGUGCACAUUGUUCAAAGAGGUGCUCUACAGCCUCUAAUACAAAUGCUCCAGUCACCUGAUACUCAAUUAAAGGAAAUGUCAGCCUUUGCGCUAGGGAGGUUAGCUCAGGUAACAUUUUCAUUUAUUUCUUUUUGGUUCCGCUGUUUUCCACCUUCAGUUACAUUUUCAAAGGUUUACUCUGGACUCAUUACUGUUUCUAUUAUAUUAUUUGAUGCUAUUGCAGGAUACUCACAAUCAAGCUGGUAUAGCCCACAGCGGCGCAAUAGAGCCCUUACUGAAGCUUCUUGAGUCAAAACAUGAAUUUCUACAACAUAAUUCUGCAUUUGUUCUUUAUGGGCUUGUAGAGAAUGAGGUAUUGUAAAAGAUAAUUAUUCAAUUUUUCGUUUUAGUAGUAUAAGUUUCAUGAUUUUAAUCGGUUGGACUAAUUGUUCCUUCUUGUUCUCCCCUCCCUUAUUCUUUGUCCCAUCUCUUCUAUAGGAUACUAUUGCAGAUCUUGUCAGAUUUGGGGGCGUUCAGAAACUUCAAGAUGGUGAAUUUAUUGGCCAAGUAUAAUCCCACACACCUUUCACUUUGAGAAAUAUCCAUUAUUGUGUUAGUCAAGUCACAAGUAGCAUUAUAUACUUUUACUGAAAAGUGACGUCAUAAUCCUUUUGCUGCAGCCAACUAGGGAUUGCGUUGCCAGAACGUUGAAAAAACUUGAAGAUAAAAUUCAUGGAAGUGUGAGUAAUUCACUUCUACACAAAAUUUGAUUUAAUGGAAUUGAGUUUGAAGAACACAAAGAUAGAAGGACUGCAAAAAAAAAAUGCUAAAACAGAAUGAUAUAAAUUGGUUUUUUCAAUUGGGCCUCUUUACUGAUGCAAUGACUUAUGUUGGAUCUUUAACUUAGUUAAUGUUUCCAUGGGCAGGUAUUAAGUUAUUUAUUGCGUAUGAUGCGUGUGGGAGAGAAAAAAGUUCAAAGACGAGUAGCUUUGGCUCUAGCACAUCUCUGUAAUCCAGAUGACCAGAAAACCAUUUUCAUAGAUAACGAUGGUAUACUAUUUAUUAAAUUGAUUAUUACUGUCAGUGUUGUGUGUCUCAGCAUCUAUACACCACCUGCCUCACCUAUCAUAUGUUCUUGCAGGAUUAACGUUGCUAUUGGAGCUUCUGGAAUCGACUAACUCAAAACAUCAAAGAGACAGCUCUAUUGCUUUAUGUAGGUUAGCUAAUAAAGCAAGCUCACUGUCUCUAAUGGAUGCAGCUCCUCCUUCCCCAAUACCUCAGGUUAUAAUUUGCAGUUUCUGGGGUUGUUUUGUAGAAAAAAUAAAAUAAAGAAUCAAGUGGUUUUGUGGGGGAGAGAUUUUCUGCUGUUCUUCUACGAAGAUAUUUCCUCAAUUCUCUCUACAAACAUCUAAUAAUGCUACACUGCUGCAGGUCUAUUUGGGUGAGCAAUAUGUAAAUAAUCCUACACUGGCAGAUGUGACAUUUUUAGUUGAAGGUGGAAAUCUUUCUACAGCUUCUUGCAUGAUUUCUAUGUGCAUAACUCAUGCUAAACAGUUUUUUUUUAUUGAUCUCGUCAUUUUUAAUUUUCAUCAUCAGGAAAACGGUUCUAUGCACACAGAAUUUGUUUGCUUGCUUCUUCCGAUGCAUUCCGGGCUAUGUUUGAUGGUGGUUAUCGGGUGAGCUAUUAUUGAUUCACGGUCUUUGGUUUAUCUCUUUGCUAUGAACAUAAAGUCUGCUUGACUGCUUUUGUUAAUCUUUUUAAAUAAUUUUGCUCGGUCGUGAUUGCAGGAAAGAGAUGCUAAAGACAUAGAGAUCCCGAACAUUAGAUGGGACAUUUUUGAGCUGAUGAUGAGGUGAAUGCUUUAUAAUACUACAACAACUCUUAGCUUUUGUAAUAAAAUUACAACUCAAACCAAUUGAUUUGUGAUUCUAACUCUUUUUUUUCUGUCUCUUUUUUUCGUAGGUACAUUUACACGGGAUCCAUUGAUGUAAAGUUAGAUAUUGCACAGGAUCUUCUGAGAGCUGCUGAUCAAUAUCUAUUAGAUGGUCUGAAGCGUCUGUGUGAAUAUGCCAUUGCACAGGUAAGUUCUGAUAACCGAAAUACGUAUUAUACUCUCUAAAUCAAUAUCCUUAUUUGUGUCUGAUAUUCGGUUCUUUAUCCAAAAAGGAUAUAUCCGUGGAAAAUGUAUCCCUCAUGUUUGAGUUAUCGGAGGCGUUCAAUGCAUUGUCAUUGAGGCAUGCUUGUGUUUUGUUCAUUCUAAAAAACUUCGACAAGUUGUCCGUCAUGCCCUGGUAUGUUUUACUAAUUUACCCCUGCUUCAUCCUUCUCUUUCUCAAGUGUGCUAGUUGCUGACCUACUUGACGGGUUGCAGGUAUUCUCAGCUUAUCCAACGUAUUUUACCCGAGACUCGUAAUUACUUUGUAAGAGCGCUGACUAGACCUGACCAGAUGGUGAUUUAACGUGAUAGCUGACUUGGGCUGAAGUUUUGAUACUGAUCUUUGACCAAUUAGUAACGCAGGAGAAUGUAUAGAAGUGGACUAGUUUUUUUACCUUUGAAUUGGUGGUUUAAUUGAUCAAACAAAACGAUGAGCCACUUUGUUUUCUAAUUCAAUUUUUAUUCAUAUACGGAUUAGUUCUGUAUCUGACACUCUCGACAUGAGUUCUAAGUCAAUCUUAGAUAUAACUUGUUCUUCUCACUGCUUAUUAAAUGUUUAAGAUUAUAUCAUAAUGUGUAUUAUACUGUACAUGGUGUCGUUUUCAUUCCCCUACAAACAAAAUUUGAGCUGAUUGAAACUUGCGAUAAAGAUUACGAUAUUUUAUUGUACAGAAAAUUUGCGUGGAUAUGUAUCAUUCUUGACGAGAUUUGAGUGCAUGGUGAUAUUCUCUUCUUAACCUAGCUUUGUUCGGCCAGCUCUCUUCCACUCCACACGCGUGUGAUUGAGCGCUCAACGGGGCCACCUGCGGCUUCUUGUUUGAGGAGGGCACAAUAUUUUCGAAACGUCUGUACACUAACGUGAAGUCUGAAAUCUAGAGAGAAUAAAAAUUUCAUCUCCAAUUUGUUCAGUUCUGCUGUACUUACGCCUCCCACUCUAGCGUAAUAGGCAUUGUUGAAGAAUCUGAAAUUUAUCACAACUUAUUAGAAGCAAGCAAACAGACAAAACAUGACUAUAUCACUAUACAAGAGAAUAAAAAAAGAAAAGAAAUUAUUUAAUCAACUUACGCAUCGUCGAUAAAUUUUGCAGCCACCAUUACGCUUGUGAUAAGGAGCCGGUGAAUAUUGAGGGAAUUUAAUGAUAAAUUUGUCCGCUGCAUAAACCGAUCCAUAUAUAUAUUUGCAAUAACAAAGCACGAAGGGCUGCAGCACGAAUACUUAAAAAUCCGAUCGAUGUACUGUUCGAUGCUCAGAGAAGGUGCACAUAAGCCAUGAAAUAUGGUGAUAACAUCUUUCGUAUCUGAAGUUUCCAUUGUCCUUUCGUUUUUCUGAACAGAUCUCUCCAAAAACGUCGAGAGAAGUGAUAAAACUCCGGGUUUUCCUAUAUUGUCCUUUCUCGAGCCUUUUAGCCCCAAAGCUGCAUAUUCUUUUGAGCAUAAACUAUCGGUUUCAAUUGUCACUGUUCCCAUUUUCCAAUAAUACCCUUCUGAGCAUAAACUCCCAAUUCAGGAGCCAAAUUUCGGCAGCAAUCUACGCUGAAAAUCGUUGAUACGAGUUUACCGUUAGAAUUCAAGAGUUAACGAAACUAUGAUUUCGACUUGUCAAAAAUAUCUCUGUAUAGUAUAUAAUACCUGAAUUCACUCUUAACAAACCCAUGUAGAAAACAUUUAAGAAAUUCAAAGUGUCUGCGAUUUCAAUAUCCAGUCAAACUCAUUAAAUAACUUAUAAACCGUUGAUUAGAUUUAAUUUCUACUUGUGUAGUUUUCUGUACAAGUAAAACAAACAUAAAUUCAAGGGCUUAUAACUAAAUACAGUAGAACGCGAUAAAUUAAUAUUCGAUAAAUUAAUAGUUUCUCUCGGUACCGAGUCGACUCGGUGAAAACGUGUUCAAUUAUUAACUCGGUAAUUUAAUAAUUCGCUAAAUUAAUAGAAUUUUCCUAGUCCCGCCAGUAACUGUAAUCUGUAAUCUAUCUCUAAGAUUCAUUACAACAAAGAUCGGCAACAUACAAUAAUCACAAAUCGAAACAGAGCCUUUGUUCUGGAAACUGAAUAAGAAAGCCACGUCACAUCCAAGCGCAGCAUAAAAAUUGAAUCGAAACUAAACGGAAUGAAAUUCAGACAAAAUUGGGGAAGAAGAAAUUAAAGCUUACAGUGGGUAAUUGACAGAUCUGGAGCUCCAAUCUUCCACAUUCAUGAAAAAAAUGGCGGACUGAAUUUCAAGCAGUUGUUUAUCAUCACCACCUUAUAAACUAGUUUAUUCCUCCUACAUGAAUAAAGUUAGAUUCAUUCGACGAACAAGUAAGAAAUAUAUGCUUAUCCCCUUUUCCCAAAAAAAGAAUUGGGUAUCUUUUAGGUCACUCAACAUGGGAAACGAACCCCGCACCUAUCUUAUACUCCAUCAUCUCACUAUGCAUUUGUACGUCGUCCUUUUUAUCUCCAUUUAAUUGUAGUAGUAUGUAUGUACAUUAUUGAUUAUACACUGCACAUGGAGAUACUCUCCCCCCUCUCUCUCUCUAUUUCUAGAGAGAGAAGAUAUAUGGGGUGUCGGGAAAGUAGUGUCGGUAGUUUUUUGUUUUCUUUUUUGCUGACGGUGCGGCGUGGCCCGGGGUAGUGAAUGCAUUUCCUAACCCUUACUAAUUAUUUUUUUAAUCUCCUACCUAAUUUAAUAAUUUUAUAUUUGUGAAACAAAGUCGAUCUAUCAACCAUUCUUAAGAAAAUUUGAAUGUGAGUCAAUUAACACCGAUUCAAUUGCUCCAACUACUAAAUCAUCGGGACUGAAGUCUAGUAAUUACAAUCUUGAAUUAUGAGGUGAUUGACCUUUUAAUGAAUACCAAAUCAGACCACACUUGACAAAGUAGUAGAAUGUUUAUUUACUGUAGUGUGCUGCUUAGGACAUGCACUAAUCAAAUUAUGUUGGACAACUAGUCAGCCUUUUUUCUGUUACACCUAACUAAAAAAAUAAUUAUUUUUUCUUCUCCUAUUUUAUUAUUAAUAAUAAUAAUUGAAAAAAGACUAAUUGAGAUUAAGACUUUUUUGUGGGCUUAUGGUGGAAAAAAUGGGCAUCAGAUCAACUUAAGAAAGAAGCCCAUUCAAUUUGGGCCAAUCUUUAAAUCGAAUCUUAUCCGAAAUGAAUUUUCACAAAACAGAAAACCUACAGCGGGAGUUUUCACUCCUGAAUUUCUCUCCCCAAAUUCAAAAAUUUCAACUUUACAUUUUUUUUUAAUCUUUCCAUUCAAAUCUUCUUAUUUGAGCACAUUAAUUCUCAGGUUUUAUUUACUGAUCUCACUUUUACUGUCAACCCCCUCUGGAUCUCUUUACUCCUGUUCAUUCGCGGCGUUUUCACGCUCCCUGUUGACCGGUAAUUUUCCCUUUUUUUUUUUGGUUUAUUGUAUGGAUUAAUGGUGUAAAUAUCUGCGGUAUUUAUGGAUCUGUUCAAUCAUCUGUUGUGGUUGUAUAUUUUUUAAUUUUUUUUUGUAAUUUUUUUUAUUUGCUCCAGUAUUUGUUUGCUUCUUCAUAGUUUGAAAUUGUUCGCCGACGAGUUUGGGGUUACUGCAUUUAUCAUGUUUGACCUAAUUUCCGGUGGUGGAGGAAUAUUAGAAGUAAUUUAUUCAUCCAUGUAUUCUCCGGCAAUUCAUUUUUUUUUUUCUCUUUUUAGGUUAUUUGGACAUGGAAUUUUCCACAUUGUCUGUAAAGCUAUGGCCCCCUUCCCAAAACACAAGGCUAAAGCUUGUCGAGAGAAUGACCAAAAAUCUUGUAACCCCAUCCAUUUGGUCAAGGAAGUACGGUCUCUUGAGUCAAAAAGAAGCCGAGGAUGAUGCUAAGCGAAUCGAGACUGCAGCUUUUGCUGCAGCCAACCAGCACUUCGGAAAGGAACCGGAUGGAGAUGGAAGUUCGGCUGUGCAGUUAUAUGCAAAAGAAUCCAGCAGGCUCAUGAUUGAAGUUAUCAAACGAGGCCCCAUUGCAAAAUCAGACGAAGAACUCAGUAUACUAGACAAAAUUAAAGAAUGCGAUGGAACUACUUUAGAUAUAUCCGGAGAACCUAGGAAAAUAAUCAAUGCCGAUGAUGCUGAGAAACUGCUGAAAUUCUUGAAGGAGCCUGGAAAUAAAUAUACGAAGAUAUGUUUUAGCAAUACAAGCUUUGGUCAUGAGGCAGCACUUGUUGCUCAGCCUAUAUUGUCGUCCAUUAAGGGUCAAUUGAGUGAAGUAGAUUUAUCAGAUUUUGUAGCUGGUAGGAACGAGGAGGAAGCUCUUGAAGUCAUGAAUAUAUUUUCGUUGGCUCUAGAAGGUUCCGAUCUUCGCUAUCUUAAUUUGUCGAACAACGCUUUGGGUGAAAAGGGUAUUAACGCAUUUGGGGCGCUUUUGAAGUCACAGUAUAAUUUGGAGGAGCUGUAUCUGAUCAAUGACGGCAUCUCGGAGGAAGCUGCAAUGGCGGUUUCUGAUUUAAUUCCUUCUACCGAUAAACUUAGGGUCCUUCAGUUUCAUAACAACAUGACUGGUGAUGAAGGGGCCGUAGCUAUAUCUAAAAUGGUGAAUAAUUCUCCUUUGUUGGAAGAUUUUCGAUGUUCGUCUACGAGGGUGGAAUCUGAAGGAGGUAUUGCACUGGCUAAAGCACUUGGAAAAUGUAACCACUUGAAGAAGCUUGAUUUGCGUGACAAUAUGUUUGGUGUUGAUGCUGGAUUGGCUUUGAGCAAGGCGGUAUCUGCAUUUAACGGUCUGACUGAAAUAUUUCUCAGCUAUUUGAAUUUUGAGGACGAGGGUUCUAUUGCUCUUGCGAAUGCCCUAAAGGAAUCUGCACCAUCGUUGGAAGUUCUUGAUUUGGCUGGAAAUGAAAUCACUGCUAAAGCUGCUCCUGCUCUCGCUUCCUGUAUAGCUUCUAAACAGUUUCUUGCAAAACUGAACUUGUCUGAAAAUGAGUUGAAGGAUGAAGGUGCUAUAUUUAUUGCGAAGGCGCUCGAGGAGGGUCAUGAUCGAUUAUGUGAAGUGGAUCUUAGUACGAAUUUGAUAAGAAGGGCUGGUGCAAGGCGAUUGGCUCAGGCUGUUGUGAAUAAACCGGGACUUAAAUUGCUGAAUAUCGAUGCCAAUUAUAUAUCGGAUGAAGGGAUUGAUGAGGUGAAAGAUGUCUUCAAGAAUUUCCCUAAUGUUCUCGGUUCGCUGGAAGAUAAUGACCCGGAAGGAAAAGACUACGACGAAGAGGAAGAGGAGGAAGAGGUAGGUGGCGAAGAUGAAGAUGAAUUGGAGUCGAAACUCAAGGGCCUUGAAAUCAAACACUGAGGAAUGAGAAGUCGCGUAAUACUCUUUUAGGUUAGUGUCACAUGUUUCGUUUGUUUCUAGGAUUCUCGAGUUGUUUGUAUGAGGGUCAGCUUGAAUGUUUUGUGCUAGCUAGGAACGAUUUUCCUGCGUUCGUGUUUACUAGCUCUUCUACGCUUGAUGCGAGUAUGGACCUAAUAUGCAGAUGUAUGUUAUUUGAUGAAUUUUGAUUUAUUUCCGGAAUAUCGGGAUUGCCAAUUGUUAUGAUUAACAGAUGAGCAGUUUACAUACAAUCAAAGCCUUGCAAAAUUUUCGAUAAAUAGUGAUUUGCUUGGGUAAAAUCAGCAAUCACACUGCCACGGGUACUUUGAGUGCUUCUAGAAUCUUGUCAUCCAACUCAAACUGAAUCUGUUUCUUGUCUCGACCAAUCUUAACAUACUCAUCAAACCGUUCCUUCAAAUCCACCGUAAGAUCCGUUGUACUACUCCAUCCAAGUAUCUCCUUUGCAGCUCUCGGCUCCGCAUAGAAAUGCUGCCAAAAAAGAAAAAAAGAGAGGUUAUAAUAUUAAAAAAGAUGAUAUUUUUUUGAAGGGGAUAUUUCAAGAAUUAUUACCAUGUUACGGAAAGGAAACGCUUUCUUUGCAUCGACCCCCACUUUCUUGGGAUCGUAGUGCACAAUUUCAACAGGCAAACCAGCAGCUUUAGCACACAAUCUCGCCAUUCCAUCGAGUGUGACAGCUCGUUCGCUAACACAGUUGAAUAUGUUUCCCUUUGCUGCUUCUGGCUUUUCAACCGCCGACGUAAGAAUUGACGAUAAGUCCCUCACAUGUGAUAUGUUUGUUAACUGCAUCCCCGAUCCAGGUAUCAAGAUUGGCCUACCUCGAACAAUACCUGCCAACAGUCGAUUUAACGUUAGAUAAACCACGAUUAAUUAAUUGAAUAAUUGAGUUUUAUUUUGAUGAAAAGUACUUACGGUCGAAGAACCAUUCCUCACAGUCUUUGUUGUUGCCAGAGCCGAUCAUGUACUGUGGGCGGAACGACGCCCAAUUAUCGAAUGUCUCCGAGAUGUAUUUCUCGACUACAACAUGGCCAGCAUCUGCUUUGACAGCAUCCUGUAAAAUCAAGAUUUGUUCUUAUUAUUAUAAUUUUUUUCGAUAUUUAAAUGUGAGGGAUCGAAAGGAAUAUACCCCUUCAACAUGAGGAGGUUCUUCUGUUGCCUUGUAGAUUCCUGCACUACUGAUGAACAGAAACUGCUUUGCACCACUGCUCUUGGCCCAAUCUGCUACAGGCCUGUUCAUGUAUAAAAUAAUCAUGAUUUGUGAAGCCGAUUGAUUCUCAGUUCGAACUCGAAUUCGUAUCGAUUGGGAUUUUCGUAUAUAAUUUAGGAAACACAAACCUAACGGCAUCCAAAUCUUUGCCAUUGUUAUCCAACACCACAUCAAAUGCAGUACCCUCGAAUAUUUUCCCGAUAUCUGCCGGCUCUCCCCACACAAUCUUGCCUCCACCACUCACAAUUUCCUAAAAUACCCCUGUUAAAUUAGCAACAAAAACGGAAUAUAUAUUUAUUUAUGUAUAUAUUUUUUUUCAUGUGAAUAGAAGCUUAACUGAAAAUCUGCUGAACGGGGGCUUCUUCAUCUUGUCGGAGGCCUCUUGACCGACGGUCAAGAUCGUGACAGCGUGGCCGGCGGCGAGAAGUUCCUUGGCGAAGUAGAAGCCGAUGACGGCAUGGCCGCCGCUGUUGGUGUUGACAAUGAGCACAUUCUUCUUCUCCGCCGUGACGGUGAAUGAGGUGGGAGAAGACGAAACUGCCCUUCUCGGAGAGUUUUUGGAGAUAGCGAGGAAAGAUGGGGAAAUGGAGAGAGAAGAGGAGAGAGAGUGACGAGAGGGUGAAGAGAGAGAAAGGCGUGGGAUAGGAGAGAGAGAAGAAGAUGAAGGUGAAGAAGAGAGGGUGGAGGAGAAGAAGAGGAGAGAGGAUGAGGUGGAAGCAACUGCUGUUGCCAUUGGAACUUUUCUUGAUGAUUGAUUGUGUAAGAACCAGCAAUUUUUCUUUUCUUUAUAUUAUUGGAUAGAAAUGGAU